AACCCACGUUGAUUAAUUAGCCAAAUAUUCAGAUCUUGUGUAACUAUAUAACUAUGUCUUUCUUUAUAAAUGUAAUUUAGAAAUCUAUAAGUUGGUUUAAUUAACACGUCCAAGUUUGGGUGUUUAAUUACCAAAAACUGGUUAAUUUUCACGUUAAUUUGUUUUAGAUGUUUUGCAUGUAAUUGUAUGUCCAUGUGACAUUCAAAACUACAUUGUUGUUGUUACUUGUUAGAAGUUUAGAUGAGUUUAUUGUGUUUUUUAAUAAACAUUUUUCCAAAAUAUGCAACUCUUCAAUUAUUUUGUGUUGUCUUUAAACAUUUGUAUUAGAGAACAGAAGUUAGGGUCACGGCCAGGCAUGUCAAAUUUGGGGCCACAAACCAAAAAAAAAAAAAUUGGAUGGAUUUUAUAGAUAACACUAAGAAUAUUAAGACUAAAUAUUAAAACUUUAGGAAACUCAAGCCUGUUUUUGCAAUAACAAAUAGAUAGAAGUUAAAAAUUUAUACAAAAUUUAAAGAUUUUAAAAAGAACGGGGACUAUGUAUACAACAUUUUUUUAAAUGGGGCAUAUUUUUUUAAACAAAAAUAAAUUAAUAAUUGGGGACCAAUACAUAUGUGUCUUGGGCAUGUGUAGACGGCCGGGCCUGGUUAGGGUAGACAUUGUGCUUGGUGGUACAGUACUACAUUUCGACAUUUCACAUUUUUGAAAGUUUGCAAUAAUAUGCAAUAUGGCUCUUCUUAGUUAAGUAUUUCACUAUUUCUUAUCCAAAAGAAUUUAUGAAAAAAAAAAAAAAAAUCUUUAUUAACAUUUUGCAGCACUUUUUGAAAUAAUUCUUGGACUUUGAAACUAUUUACAAAGAAUGCCACUAAAAUUUAUAAUUUAGUAAAAAUUUGAAAAACUAAUACUCCCUCUGUUUCAUUAUAAGUGAUGUUUUAGCCAAUUUUUUUUGUUUCAGUAUAAUUGAUGUUUCAAUUUCCUAUGCAAAAAUUUAACGUAUUUAAUAUUUUUUGACCAAUUAUAUUUUACAUCAUAUUUUCUUAUUGGUUGAACUCAAAGUAAUUAAUGAUGUUUUUAUGGAAAAUGGGUAAGUUAUAUGUUUUAUUAUUUAGUGUGUCAAAACCUUAAACAUCACUUAUAAUGAAACAGAGGGAGUAUUAAUCAUUUUUAAAAGAAUUCAUAAAUUCUCUCCCUAAAACACCAUUUCUUAUUCCCACCUUUUCUCAAAUAUUUCUCCAAAAUCUUCAUAUGAUCUUAUUUGUUUUUUAAUUUAUUUUAUUACAUAAAACAUAUGUAUAAUAAAAAUAUUUUUUUUGCAUAUACUGCAAUUUGAAUUUUUUAAAUUGACGUCUAUUACAAUUUUUUAUAGCAUAUGUACAACAUCCUGAAUGGAGUAGAACUUUUUUGAUAAUGGUUCACAAUCUUUAUAAAUAAGAUUAACCUUCCUACUACGAAUGCGGGGACUAUAAAUAUGGGUAUAAUUUAUUGGGGAUUAUAUGAUGGGGCGGGUUGUAAGACGAGAAUGGUUGUUAACUACAUAUAAAGUUUAAAAUAUUUAAAAUAUUUUAAAACUUUUUUAAAUUUUAAGUGUUAUUAAUAUUUUAACUCUACCCCAAGUUUAUACUAAAAUAUUAUUGACUUUGCCAUUUUUUUAAACAUGGAUUUAUUUUUUGGGUGAUUAUAUGACAAAAUGUACCGUGGGAUUAUACUUACAGCAUGUCCACUUACAAUUUGUAUUUUUAAAAUUUGUUUUACAUCAAUAUCAAAUUAUAAACACAUUGAAUUGUUUUAAUAUUGUUUGUUUUAUAACCAAAUUAAAAAUAUUAUAAGCAGACAAUUAUUUCCUAAAUAUACUCAUAAUAAUUGAUAUUUAUGUCCCAUAAAUAUAAGGGAAAAUUGGAAAUAAAGGAUAAAUAAUUAAAUUAUUGUCCAUCUAUGCAUCUAUAUUAACAUUUUUGAAGUACCUUUUGGAAAAUAACCUUUUUUUUUAUCAACAUAAUAAAUCCUUGCCAUUUAAAUAAAUAACAAACUUUUAAGAUAAAAUUUGUAAUUAAAUUACACCAGAAUCGCAAAAUUAGAAACUAAUAUUUAUUACAUUUAACAAAAUUUCCUAAAAUGUCUCCCUAAUAAAUUGAAUAUCUCUCCAAUAUCUUUAUAUGAUCUUAUUUGUUUUAAAAUUUAAAUCAUUACAUAUAUGUAUAAUGUCCCACAUCGGGUACAAAAUUUUAGACAAUGAAUCAGAACCAUUAUAAAUAUGACUAAUAUGUAACUUAAAAAACCAAAACCUUGAAUGAAAGAUUACAAAAAAAAAAUUACUAAAUUUUAGGGAAUCCAAAAUUUUAAAAUCUUGAUUGGAUAAAAAUGAGUUUUUUGGAAAACUAAAACCAAAAUCUCUCUCAAAAUCUAUAAACCAUUCAAGGUUUAUAUUUUACAUAAAUAUGAUUUAACGGGUUUGAGUUUUAUGUUUUUCUUACGGGUUAUCUUACAGGUUAACAUAACAAAAAAAAAUAACAAAUAUAACUUAAACAUAAUUUUUUUAGUCCCGCCAGUUACAGAACAAUAUCCCGCGAGUUAAGUAAUAAAAAUAACAAUCAAAAAUACAAUUACACAAUCUUAAACACUAAAAAGGUAAUAAAAUUAACAAAUAUAACUUAAAUAUAUAUAUUUUUUAGUCAAAACAAUCGUCCCGCGGUGUACCGCGGGUUAAAACCUAGUUCUAUAUUAAUGUUUGUUCAUUUAUGCUUUAAUAUAAUUAAAAUCCCAUUAUACCCUCAUAUUUUAAAAUCUUGCAAAACUAUUUAAAUUUUCGUAGGGCAUAUAUUUCUUAAAAAAAUCUUGCAAAACAUCAACAAUCAAGAUUAAUAAUUGUAUUCCAUUGGAAGAAAUAAAAAAUUGUAUUUCAUUAGAAGAUACAAUAAGCAUUUUCUAAGAAGUAAUUUACUAAUUUGACAUGAUAUAUGACAGUAGUUAAAAAUAUAUAUAUUAACAUUUUUGCAGCACUAUUUGAAAUAAAUCCUGGACUUUGAACUUAUUUACAAGGAAAAAAGAUACCUAAAUACACCAACUAUGAAACAAGGAAAAGUUCGGAUGUAUGGUCAUGCAUUGUAGCAUAUUGCGUGUAGGUAGGUAUCUUUUGUCCUAUUUACAGUGUCCUGCCACUGCAUUUAUUAUAUUAAACUUUUCUAUCAACAACUUAACAAAUAACAAAACAGAUACGACACCAAGCUUUGACUAUUUAAUUCUAAAAUCGUUUUGGUAAAUUCUAUUCUCCGUGAAUCUCUCUAUGCACAUUAUUCAAAAAUAAAAACUGUUAAUAUAUUUAUUAUACAUUGUAUAAUCCUAAAAAUAUCUGCAUAUUAUGCUAAUAAUCUAUAUUAACAUUUUAAAAUUUAUUUUAUUACAUAAAACAUAGUAUAAUAAAAAACAGUUUUUUGCAUAUAUUGCAAUUUGAAAAUUUUAAAAUGGACAUAUAUUAAAAAUUGUUUUAGCAUAUGUAUAACAUCCCAUAUCAAAUUUUUUUUUAUAAUGGUUCAAAAUCAUUAUAAAUAAGAUUAUAACAUUCCAACUACGACUAACGGGACUAUAAACAUGGGUUUAAUUUUUUGGGAAAUGUAUGUGGGAUGGGUUGUAAGACGGGAAUGAUUGGUAACUACAUAUAAACAGAAUCUUUAUAAAUAAGAUUAAAACAUUCAAAUUACGAAUAACGGGACUAUAAACAUGGUUUUAAUUUUUUGGGAAAUAUAUGACGAGAUGGGUUGUAAGACGGUAUGAUUGUUAACUACAUGUAAAGUUUAAAAUAUUUAAAAUAUUUUAAAAGUUUCAGUGUUAGUAAUAUUUUAGCUCUACACCAAGUUUAUACUAAAAUAUUAUUGACUUUGCUAUUUUUUAAAAGAUGGAUUUGUUGUUUUGGCGAUUAUAUGAUACUACGGGGUAUAACACGGGAAAUGUUGUAAUAUGCUUCCAACAUAUUAUAUGACGGAACGGGUUUAAGUUGAUAUUAUUUAAAAAAAUAUAUAUUAUUAAUCUCACAGUUGAAUACGUGUCAUUUUAACCGCGGGUUGAAAUCUAGUUAGUAUUAAACUUGAACAAAAGAAACGAAGAAGUAAAAACAAGUAUAAACUAAUAUUAGUAAGUCAAGUAAAGUAGUAGAAGUAGCUUUGAGUGGAUUAUUGAUUCUUCGGUGGCUUUAGUUUAUGUUGUGAGUGCUUAUUGUUGGAUAAUUUAUAAAACUAAAUGUGUGAUGGCUUGCUCCAAUUCGACUGACUCGUUUUCGUUAUGAACCAACGUUUUGCUACAAUACAAAUUUUCUAUUUUAAUAUAUGAAUUUAUGGUGAAGUGAAGUUAGUGUAGUGGUAAAUGUUAAAUCCAUGGACAUACACCAUUAUACAAGGAUCGAGAUAGACACCAUCAUACAAGGAUCGAGUCCUGGAGCCUAUAUAUUUAUAGGGAUUAGGUUAAUGGGUUGGCCAGUUGUGGCCUAAAUGUUGACAAAAUAAAAAAAAAUACAUGAAUUUAUGUCUUUUGCUUUGUUGCUUCGAUUGGACUACUUGUGCAAUGUGAAUCUAUAUUAUUAAAGCUGAAGUACCCAUUAAAUUUACACUAAAGUUUUUAAUUGAAAUAAAAUACACUUAAUCGGAUAUAUCAUUUUCGGAUCUUUGGGUAUGGAUAACGAUCAGAUAUUUCUCUAGCAGAUUAUAUCAUUUUCAUAUUUAGUUUUGAUUCUCCUAAAAUAUCUCUACCUAAUUUAAUAAUUAUUUUAAUAAUAUAUUUAAAAUAAUUAUUAUUCUCCUUUCUCAUUCUUAUGAUCCUGUUUAUAUUUUAUUUAUUUUAUUACAUUAAAAAUAUGAAUAAAUAAAAAAUAGAAUUUUUCCGCAUAUGUUGAAAUUGAUUUUUUUAAACGGACAUAUAUAUAUCUCAAUCGAUAAAACAAAAAAGGAUGUAAAACGUCCCAAAUCGGCUAUAAAAUUUUAGAAACUGGUUCAUAAUCAUUAUAAAUAGGACUGAUAUACUUCAACCUAUGAAUAAACAGGAAACUUGAUUUCUCAAGCGUCCAAAAUUUUAAAUUUUUAUUUGGUUUAAUUCAGUUCUUUAGUUGAGCAAAUUAAAAGUUUCAAAAAGUUUCAAAAUAUUAUAAUAUUUAAAUUUUUAAAAUUUUUAAAGUAUUAUGAAUAUUGAAACUUUAGAGUAUUUAGAUUUAAAUAUUUUAGGUGAAACAUCAAAUAUUAGUCUACUAAAUUUUUCUAAAGAUAUUUGUUUUAAAAAAAAUGUAUUCAAUUACACAAUAACAUACAAUCAAAUUAUACAUGUCAAAAUUCAAAAACAUAUAUGUAAUGUUCUUGAACUCAAAUAGGAUUUUAAACCGGAUUACCUACCGGGUCAUCGGGUCACUAGGCUAACCGGGUUCGUCAAUAGAUUAAAAGCUUUUAUUUAUUUUUAUAUAGAUUAUGCGGUUUUAUAAAUAGAAAAAUAAAAAAUAACCAUAUCAUGUUAAACAAAAUAUGUAGUCUAACAAUAAUAAUAAAUUGCUUAAUUUUUAAAAUUCAAAUAAAACCAAAAGAACACUAAUAAUACAUCAAUUUUAUGGUAACCAAUUUUAAUCGUAUGUAUUAUCGUUUGAGAAAGAAUACAAAUAUUAUUACUUCUAAGAUCUGGCUGGGCCAAUUGGUUCAUAUGGUCGUGGGUUAGCGACAAUUUUUAUUGUUUUUUUAGUUAUGAGAUUAUCGGUUAUUUCCAUUAAUCCGAAAACGGAAAAAUAUCCAGUAUCCGAGUCGUAGAUUAACCUGUCAAACCGACUAGUUAGUUCAGAAAUAAAAACAUAUGAUUUAUCAAAAAAUUACAAUAUGAGAAAUAGACACAAUCUAAUAUAUAUAUAUAUAUAUAUAUAUAUAUAUAUAUAAUUAUAAUUUAUAUAUUAACUUUUUGAACCGAUUGAACCGAUGUCAUUCGCGCAGUAGCACGGGUUAUCCUCUAGUUUUAAAAGAAAGCUUUAAAAUAGUUGAUUUGGUAAUCUGAUUGAUGCCUUAGUUUUGUGUUUGUCAUGUGUAUCAUUAGUUUUCAUUUCCUUUUUAUUAAAGAAAUUCUAAAUUAGGUAAAACAUAUUUUUAUAUAUAUAAUAUAGGAAAAAACGUUAGAAUAUGCAUUCUAAUAAGUUUAGAACAUGAAUAAAUGCUAGAAAAUAUACUCUAUUAUUUUUAGAACAAAGAGACAACUAUGGAAUAUGUAUUCUCAAUUGGUAACAGCUUGUCCGGUGGGAAAGUUGUUAAAAGGUGAGAUAUUGGGUUCGAGUAACGCCAAGUGUACCAAUAACCUACAUGUGGCCAAAGAGGAGUUGUUGGCUAUAUUGGACCCACAUAAAGGAGGUUAGGGUGGAUGCGCUGCAUCGCUUGUGGCGGGGUCCCACGGGAUGAGUUGUUAUAAGCAUCUUUAAACUUUUAAAACAUUUCAAAAUAAUAUAAUUAAAAGUUUCAAAUAUUAUAAUAUACAGAAAAUUAUAAGAGGUUCAAAUACAUAAAAUUUAAAGAAUAUUUAAAUAUUAUAACUUUUUUUUGGAGAGAGAGAUAAUUUUGCAACGGGUCAAAACAUGAUACAUGAUCACGUAAGUUUAACGAAUAUUUAAAUAUUCACUUGCUCGGUAAAUUUUUUUAUUUCUUAAAAAAAUAGUCUAUUCAUUUUAAACUUCAAAUUUAAUUUUGGGAAGUUUGUUAUGAUUUAGAAGUGGUAUGGAAAAAAUUUUAAGUUCAAGCCUCAAAUUUGAAAUAUCUAACGCCAAUCCAAAUGAUCUAACCUCAAAUUUGAAAUAUCUAACCCCAAUCCAAAAAUAUUUAACAUUCAUUUUUUACUUGAAAAACAAUCCAACUUUCAUCAAAAAUUUCACAAAAUUAAUCCAGAAAACAAUAUUAUAGUAUGUGCAUGUUUAAAUCCAAAAAUAUUUGCAGGUACUAAUAAACAUUUUAAUUUUUUUAUUCAUAUUUUCCUUCAAAUCUAAAUAAAAUCUAGUAUUUCUGGGAAACUGCAUUUGAAAUUAAGUAGAUCAAGAAAGGUAUGUAUCAUUUUAUCAACAAAAUAAAAAUAAAAAUAAAAAAGAAAUUCUCUGGAGAUUAAAUGACUAAAUCGAGAAUUUGAGGAAAGACAUUAAGAAAUACUUGCAUACGUAUUAAAAAACUUGAGAAAUUCUUGUGCAUUAAAAAUUCUCUUGAAAACUCUAUUGAGUUUGUAAUGAUGAAGCUUUUUUCCUAAGAAACGAUCGAAUCAAAGCUAUUUCAUAAGUUAAAAGUAAAAAAGGGGAAGUCAACUUGAGUCUCAAUUAUUUUUAUCCAUCUCUUAACCACUUAAAAUCCAAGAGGUUGAAAAUCAAAGCUGCAAAUUGCAGUUCUCUUGAUUCAAGUUUAUUAUUUGAUAAUUGAUAUUAAUAAAGCUUCAAACUAAAAUUAAGAAUUUGCAUUCUAAUUAUUUUUGAAUUUUAUUUAUUAAACUAUUUUAUGUCAAUUAACUUUAUGAAAGAGAGACACGCAUCUAUUUUACUAAAUUAAUUUUCAAACAAAAUCAUUAUGAUUAAUUUGAAUUAUAUUUAUAUUAAAUAAAGAAAAAAACUAUAAGUAGUCCCACGGUGUAGCGCGGGUUUGAUUUAGUUAACUAAUAAUGAUGACAGAAAAAUAAAAAUGUUUCUUGUUGUCUGUUUCUUUUAGUUAUAAUUUUGAUGUGCGUAAUUUGAUUUUUCCAUUAGAAUAAUGGUUUGUAAUGUUAAGAACACAUACACAAGAAAUUUAGGUGAUUAUUAAUGUUUAUAAUAAUAACUAGAAGAAAAUUUAAGUUAUUAUUAAAAGUUAUAAAAAAAAAUCUUGCGUACAAAAUAUUAACAAACAAAAAUAAUAACAAUUCUAACUUGGGAUAUUUUUACUAAUAACUUAACUACUUAUAUAUCACUAAACCAUAAAAAAAACAUUAUGAAGAAAAGGGCUGAAUUUUAUUUAUAAUAUGGAGGGCCACAAACUAAUGUUUCAUGAGCCUGGCCCAUGGGCAGGCUCUAAUUCUGCAACCAAUAACGCAAAAUAUCCACCUCUUUAAAUUCUGAAAAGCAAUCGGGUCUUCUGCCUUGCGCUGCAAGUUUGAGGUUUCUUCUCCAUAUAAUCCCCAAAUAUAUUAGAACUCCAGCAAGUAUGUGACAACAAAUUCAGGGUAAGUCUUUUAGAUAUUAGUGAACAUGCUAGCUAACUUGUUGAUUUAGAUGUUUCUGGUUAGGUUAAGACGGUGAUUCUUGAUAUUUUUUACUUUUUUCAGACUGUUGUGGUUUUAGUCGGCAACGAUGUGGAAGUUCACUUACGUGUUGAUUGGUUCUCCCGCUCUACACCUGUCUAGCGGUUGCUAGCGGGCGAUUGCGUUUGUUAGCGUUUGGUACCAAUCAUACAAAACGCUCUACACCGUUUGAAAUCGCUUGAAAUCGCUGGAUUUCAAAAGCUCCUCUCCGCAAGCGUUUGCGGUUGUCGGCGUUUGCGAUUGAUUUAAAAAAGGUAAGAAACUGAAAAAAGAAAAUCUGCAAAACAAAAUAUAUAUUAUCGAAUCUUACAUAUUUUCACAUUAAUUCUCAAAUAAUAAUUAUUCUCUAAAUUUAAUUUUCCAAUAUUAUCAAAUCUUAUAAAAUUUAUUUAUUUAACAUUUGAAUAAUUAUUUACUAUAUAUACUUAGUAAUAAUAAUGGUAUGUAAUUUUUAAUCAUAUUUAAAAUGUUUAUACUUUUACUUCAAUAAAUUUUAUUAUAAAAAAUCUAUUUUAAAUAAUUAUUCAGUAAUUUAUUUAUUGUUUUUAGCUAUUAAUCAUAUUCAUUUUUUCAAUAUAUUUUAUCAUAAUAAUAUAGUAUUAGUAUAUUUAUACAUUUUUAUAAUUAUAUUUAUAUUUAAUUUUGUAAUUUUUGAUGUAACUGCCAUUGCAGCCGCUGGUUAACCAGUAAUAAAACUCCCGCAAAUGCACCCAUUUUUAAAAGCUAAAUCAGUCGUUUAAAACGCUUAAUAACGCUUGAAACUGCAACCGCUCGCUUCCGCAAACUCCCGCAACCGCAACCGCAACCGCAACCGCUGCGUUUAAACCAGUCAGGCCCUUAGUUGCAAUGCGGACUAGGAAUCACAAUUUCCCCUGUUUCUGGGUGUUCAUUGUGGUCUUUACGAGUCAUGUUUGAAGAUGCUUAUGAAUCGAUGCUUAGCCAUCGUGUUUGAUCUUGAUGAAACUUUGGUUUUUGCAAAAUCUACGACCUUGUUUACAAAACAAAUUAAGAAUCUUGAAGCAAGCAUUCUAAAGGAGACUAAUCCAACCAAGAAACUGGCAUUGACAAAGGUUUUCUUUUUCUUACAAGUCUGGUUCAUGGAAGUAAAAGCAAAACCAGACUUUUUUUUUUUUAGCUUAGAAUACAAUCAGAUACCUUAAGAGCUCUGCAAAAUUUUCCUCAUCAUCUAACUUGUUGAGAAACAAAAUGCUAUCUUGAUCCGAGAUCAAUGAGAGUAUGAAGGAAAGUACAAUUAAACAUUUCUCUAUCAUAUUAAAGUUUCAACAUGUUUCCAUGGCUACUCAAUCCAGUUACCUGAAGAGAGUACUUACAAGUAAAGCCAACUCUACAACUCGAAUCUGAAGAGAUCACCAAUCAAAGAGCCAUAAUAUUUCCUAGAUAUUUGCAGAAAUGUAACUGCAAAUGAUGAUACAGAGACUUUGGUGAUGUUAGAACACAUACAAAAGUAAAAAAAAAAUCUUUUAGCACUCAAGAAUCGAUACAUUCAUCAAUAUUUUACUAAUUGUCUUCUACAAACAGAGUGACGAAUGCUUUUAGUAGUUACAAAAAACACAUGCAGUAUUGUAAAUAUAAUCAUUGCUCUGCUUUAGUCAUCUUUUGCCAUGUCCUAUACUGAUUGAUGUAGGAAAAUGUGUUGGAGUUGUGAAGGGUAUUAGGACUUCUCCCUCAUUUUGGCUCUGGCAAAUACAACUCCAGCGACUAGACCUGUAAUUCAGGCACCUCAGGUUAAUGCACAAAACAAAUGAUAUGUGUUUCUUCAAGAUGUUGGACAAGGGAACUGAUCAAGAGAUCGCUUACCAAAGAGUAUACUUGCUGAGUUCUGUAAACUGGUUGGUACAUUGAAAAGAACAAUCCCCGCAAUGGAUAAAGGUAUCUUGUUUAGCGAUCCCACCAGGCUGAAUUUUGAAUAAAAUGAAAAAUGUAUGUUUAGAAGGAAUAAACCACCAAUAAUGCAAGUAUGGAAAAGGGAUAUAUGGAAAAGACUGGGCAGAGCAACACUCUCCAAAGUAUAGUUUUGAAAUAGCAUGUUUUUCUAUCACUGUCUCUCCCUAAUUCGCUACCUGUAUGUUGUUGCUCCAGUUUGAUGAAGAAACCACAUUGAAGUGAAACUAAUGGCCAGUCCUAGAAGUCCACUAAGUGUCAUGACCAUCCAGAAACCUGGCAAUCGCAGAAGAGGCCUGCACAAAUAUAAUACGACAACCAUUUUGCUUUCAGAUGACACUAACCAUUUUCCAUUGACAGGAAAAAAGGACAGAACUCACGUUUGAUACAGAUAAUCCAUCUCGUUGAAAGAAAAAGAAAGCAGAAGCCCCAGUGGUAAUGAAAGUGUGUUAUUAAGCAAGACCAUGGAGAACUCGUUUAAGUUUCCCGAUUGAGUAACCUGCUUAGCUGUAUCCAUGGUCUUUCUCAAAGUUAGCUGCAAAACAAUAAUAUAGAAGCUAUUCAAAAGUAGUAGCAGAAUUUUCCAUGGCCUUGGUUUUUAUGGACAUGCAAUAAUGGAACCAAACACGUUCGUUUCUAAAUCACGAAAUGGUAUGAAAACCUUGUGUGAAGUUGAUGAUGUGAAUUCAUAAUCUUUCCCCAAAAUCUUAUCUCUACCAUGAUAUUCCUACUUUUUCAGUGAGUUAAAGUACUCAGCUCACUGAUGACAAUUGAUUGCAGUCUAUUAUAUUUUCUAAGGUACCAGAAUCUCAGAAUCUCAACAGUAUCUAUAAACUCAAAAUCAAGCCAGUAACGUGCUAGUAUAGUGAAGAAGAACCAUUUCGUUUAUUGACUUAGUCUUAAACAAACAACAUAUAAUGCUUGACAUGUAAGCAUGGUUAUUAAGUGCUAUCUUUCUCAUAUUUGUGUUUAUUGCUUCAAAAGACUCCAACAUUUUGAGAAAAGAAACCAAAACUGAUCAAAUGAUUACUCACAGAGUAUGAUGCAGUUAAGAAGCAAUUAGCAAUCUGCCAAGCAUAGCCAACAGCAUUGAAUGAUAGGUCUGUUAUCCCUCCAGAAACUGCAGAAAUUAUCUGCAAAUGAGGGCCGAAAGAAGCGCAGGCAAACAAAAUUUUAGCUCCUACUUAUUCAAGAUCUAUACUAUAAGAAAUACAAAAUACAUAAUAAUAAUGAGUAGCCGUGACAAAAAAACAUGAUCACAUUUCCUUGGUAGACUAAUUUUGGAAGCAGUAAAAGAAACAUAUAUCUCCAACAGUUUGAAAGGUUAGGCUAUGCCACAUCACUGAAGGCUUCUAGGAGGAUUGUAACUGUGCAAGCACACAAAAACUCUAGUUUAUAUGCUUUUUAUACGUAUCUUGGAAUAGGGUCCGUGGGAAUAGUUCUCUCAGGUAAAAGUACGGAAUCACUUUGAACUACUUUUAAAGCGUACCAACAUACCAUUAAGAAGAGAGCAGCCCACACUCUGUUGUCAUGUUGCUUGUUGAAUAGAUACAUCUCACCAACAGCAGUUAUCACAUUAGUGACAUUCUUCAGGACAGUGACCAUUGCUACAUUGAUGUACUUCAAACUGUCAAAGAAAAAUGCAUUUGAAAUUGAUAAUCAAGUUCAUUCUGUGCUUCAAAUGUCGUCUGCAUACUCAUAUAAGAUACAGAUAUAAAUCAUCCAUACUGUGGGGUAAAUCAAGAAUGUCUCAGUUUAGAAUGGAAAAACUAUAUGUUCCAGCUCAGUGUCUACAGGUUAUGCAAUCCUCCAUCUACUGUAAAGUUUAACUAUAGAGCUCAAAUAAAUGAAGUACAGUUUUGUAUAACUACCUCUAGUACUCCAAAAAGCAGUGGCUCUCCUACCAACUUUACUAACUUAGCAAUCUUCCAAUGGGCUUAAGGAUAAGAAACCAGAAAGAGAAGGCAGAUAGUAUACAUCUCAGAGUCUUUCCAGUUUCCCAUAUUUUGCAUGAAUAUGAAAUCUAUAAACCAAUAGAAACAAAGGUGUAGAACAUAUUCUUACCUAAACAUACUCGUAAUAAGCAUGCCAACAAAUAUCACAUUCACUGGAAACCAGACCUUCAUUAACUUCAAGGUCAGGGGUUCUGUAGUUAUUAGACCCAUUAAGUUCAAAACCACCACAAUGAUCACGGAGACGAAGUUCUGCAAUAUUCAACACAAAGGGGUAAGAAUAUGAAACAAAAACAUCUUUACAAAACAAAUUGCUGACAAAUUUUCAAUAGUUAUAUCACUACAAAAUGUGAUGCCACGGUUUUUGUUGAGCUAGGGAAAUCGAACGAGCGUACCUGGUAUAACAUUAAAAAUAUCCCAGCAUUGAAGUUGUAGCUGGAAAGGACAAACUUGUUCACAAGAAUCAUGCUGCAUGAUGAAAUGCAAUAAGCUAAACCCGAUAACAAAGCCCGAUUAUGUAUCUUUCUUUGCAAUGGUUUAUCUCCGGAUUUUCCUGUCUUCCCAUCUUCUAAAUCAACGACAUCGUGUUUCAUUGCAAGCUAGGACCUACCAGAGAGAAUAAUAACUAUCAAGCAUAUAACCAUGUGAACUUUAAGAUUUAAAGCUAACUGAGUAGAAAGCUUGCAAUAUGAGACAGGAGAAAUAGGAAAUAUAGAAUCACUCGGACUUCAGUAAUAGUCAUCAUCACAUCACAAGAUUAAUUUCCGCUAGCUUUUACCACAUCAAUAAUUCAAUGAAAAAUGGUGGUCGUUGUUCUAGUUCAAUAACCAAUAAGAUAGAUCCACCAUUGUUAACAAUACACAGAAUUCAGCACAAAGCGUAACAUUUUUUCAUUAACCAAUAUCAAGACAACUUUACUGGGAAAAGACUCAUAUGUUUACUUUAAACCAAUUCAGUUCCAGUUCGAAAGGCAAGCAGCUAAAAGGUGGCAGCUUGAUCUAAAAUAAUCGAAAACAUAACCAAAUCAUAUCCAAUUCGCAUCUACAUAGACAACACAAAGAAUGAAAAAUGAUUUAAAGUUCUUAUGGAGAAAUAAACGCAGUGUUGGGACUUGAGAUUCUAAAGGAACUUGGAAGACUAAUUAAGAAGCCAUUUUCAUGAAACUUACAGCUCAAAUCUCCAGUGGGUUGAAACUAGAAGUAACAAAACUCCAAAUCAACGAGAUGUCCCAAGGAAACCAAGAGAUACCCCAAAUGAAUAGAACCCUAGAGUAAAGAAGACAGUAAGUAUCAUCAGCUCCAAACUUGCAGAUCAAAAGAGGUCAAAACAAGUCACAGAAUCAACAAAGACUACUCUUUUAAGCAAGUUUCGAAUUUUGUGAAAGAUAAGAUGCAAAUGGAAGAAGUCGCUGACAUAGAACUUGGAGCAGGUCAAAGUUAAGAAACUUUAGAAUAAUAAACCCACCCAAGUUAAGAGUAAGCUUCACAAGCACAAAGAUCAAAUCUUUCGAAAUACCCAGAAGAUUCAGUAGCAGCAAGUAGAGAAAUUACCUCCAAGUAGAGAGAUUCAGCUUCGGAUCAGAAGUAACCAAAGACGAGAUCUGAUUGAACCCAAGUCACCGGAAUAAGAAAACACAAAUCAGAAGAAGAAGAAGAAGAAGAAGAAGAUGAUGAUGAUGAAACUUGCUCACAGAUGGUGAUGUCGCCACUGUGAAGAUGUUUGAAGAAACAAUACGGAAGAAAUUAAAGAAACUGGGAAACUGAAAAGACGAGGGAGAGAGAAGGCAUUGACCCAAGAAGAAAUUAAAAAACAAAAAAAAACAAAAAAAAUCCUAAAAAUUAUGGAUUCAGAGUUCAGAGUGACUUCAGACCAAUUUCGUUUAUUUAAGGGUUAUUUAAAAAGUUGUAAAAGUUAGAGGAAAUUCCAUUAUUGGAUCAAAUAUAUAUUCUCAGUGGGAAUUUCAAAAUUGACAAACUCCUCAACUAUUUUUAUUUUUUAUACAUUACUACUCAUUUCACACAUGCCUAUAAAAAUUAUGGAUUAAUUACCACAAAAAAUAAUAUGGAUUUAUUUUAUGGGGGAAUUUCAAAAAUAUCUUUUUCCAAUACCACUUUUUAAAAAUAUCCCUCUUUUUUACUUUAUCAAAAAAUUAUUAUAAAAUUAGAAAUUUAUAAAAAAAACAUAUGUGUAAGCUUAUAUUUCUAGACACAAAUUAUUUUUAUAUGUGUGUAAAUUUAUAUAUUUCAUAAAUACCGUAUAAAUACCUUUUAAAAACUUUUUAAAAAUCAUUUAAAAACUUUAUAAAAAGUGUGUAAACCUUUUAAAAACCUUAUAAAAACCUUAUAAAUGAUGUUUAGAACCUUUUAAAACCUUAUAAAUAUUUGGACUUAGUCUCCCAGUAGUAAUGAUGAUCUUGAUGUACCUUAUCAACCAUAUAAAAGUUUAUAAUUUUUCAUAUUUGAAAAAUGGUAUUUUUAAAAAUGGAUAGAAAAGAGGGAUAUUUUUUAAAAGGGGUACACCAAAAGGGUAUCUCUCAAAAAUUCUCCUUAUUUUAUUUAAAUUUGUCCCAAAAUAAAAAAACACCUUUUUAUCUGUAAAAAGAAAUAAAAUUGAUCAAUUUUGUAUAUGAAUUUAUUUUCAUACAAAUAUAACAUAUUUAUCAAAUUUGAUAAAAAAAAUUAGCUACAAUUUAAUAUUAAAACUAACAUAGAUGUAGAUGUAGGUGUAAUAUGUAAUCUCUUUAGAUGUAGAACUAACAUAUUGUUCUCUUAAUUAGUUUACAGUUGUUACACUAUUCUCUUAUAAAUUGACAAGAUAUCAUAAUGGAAACUUAAUUAUUUUUGCACUUUGAAAAUUUAAAUUCCAUAAUACUAUUUGCUAAAAUAAAUUUUAUAUAAUAUAUAUUUGCUAAAGUAAUAGUUCAUGGUAGAUAGCUUAUAAUUAAAAAAAAAAAUUGUAUAAACAAAUAUGUAUAGCUUAUAAUAAUAUUUUUUUUAUAAAAACACUUAUAAGUGUGGUACCAUAUGGUUCAAAACAGAAAAUUUUGUCAAUCUAUGCAAAUCUUACACACACAAGAAAAAACAAAAAAAGGUGAUACAAGUGGGUUAGAAGAAUUUUGAUUCUUACAAACGUUUGACCACAAUAAAUACUUACCACUUGUUACUUUGUUAGUGGAGGAAGAGGGAAAAGAGAUAACUACACUGUUGUUUGUCUCUAAAAAAACUUGGCAAUUUUGACACCAAAAACAAAGGCCAUAAAUUGUGGCCACAAACGCACAUAUGUUACCGAUCGACCAAAUUUUCUUCUUAUUAGCGUUUUUUGAAAAAAAAUUGCGAAAUUAACCAACAUAUAUAAAUUUGAAACAUUUUUUAAAACAUAAGUAGUAUUUACCUAACGGUCCAAAAACAUCGCAAACUGCACUUGUCUCGCAAAUUUAUUUUUUCUAAAUAUUACAGUUAAACCGUACCGCAUAUUAAAACCGCUUUUCCGCAUUGUUAAAUACGAUGUACCCAAAAUUCGGCAAAUAAUGGUCUUUGCCUCGUACCAUACCGUUGACCUUCUUGGUUAAUAGUGUAAUACUAUCCCACUCGAAAUUAUUGGUAGGCUCUCUAUUUUGACUCCUUGAUGCAGUCGUCCACUUCUACAAUCCAAUAGCCAUAUCUGCCCAAGUCUACACGAACAUUGAGAUUAAUCAAAGAUAAAAAAAAAAAAUCAAAUCUUUAGCUCAAAAUAACAUCUUAGAAACGUUAUCCAAAAGUGUAAAGACAAAAUCAAAAAAAAAUAUUCACACUGUAAAGCCAACAAUAUUGAUCAUGUUGAUUGUUGAUCUUGAGUGGUUAAAUAACAUCUUUGUUAACAAACAACACCACUUAUCUUUACUAUUCACUUUCGGAAACUAAUUAUUAAUUAUUUAGUUAAGAAAAAUCUUCAUUGAACUAUGCAUACGUAUGUACGAGUACGACCGACCAAGCUUCACCCCCCCCCCCCCCCCCUUAAACUCGAAAUUGAAUAUAAGUAAUCUUAUUUGAUUUGGCUUUUAUAGUUUGUUAGGAAGCAACAAAUCAGUAUGAUAUAAUAAAAUAAAAACAAAUCACCAUUUAUCAUAUUAGUUUUUGAAAUAUUUCCUUAACGAAACUAUAAUAAUUAAUUAUGACUGUUAUAGAUGAAAAUAUUAAAAAACCAAAAUUGUAUAUAUGUAAACUAAUAUUAAUUUGAUUAAAUAUAUGUAGAUACAGAAAAAGUGUAUAUAAAACGUCCCACAUCGGGAUCACGAGUUCACUACUGAUUGGAACCAAUUGUUACGGCUUCUCACCGAUCUCAGCCAUGAAAGAAUAAGUUUUUUCACAUUAAAGUACACCUUUCAAACUACUCUCUAUCAUAUUUGGCAAGAACGGAACAAAUGACGUCAUGGAGAUAGCCCUUGCACACAAUCUCUUCUUCUUAGGAAUAUUGACAAGAACAUCCGCAAUAAAUUCAGCUCAAUUCUUAACCAAGGAGACUACUCUCUUACAAUGAGGGGCUAGCCUACUGGUUUCCUACUCGUCCUCCUCCGCAUUGAUUGUUCUUGUUUUUGAGUUUUCACAGUUGGAGUUACAUCUCAAUUUCUUUUGAUCUCAUGUUUCAAAUUCAAGUACACAGUUAUUGUAAAUAGUUUUUUUUUUGUUCGAAUAAGUUUUACAUUCAAAUAAAAAAAAACGUCCCAAAUUGGGUAAUUUUUUUGGACAAUGUUUUAGAAUCAAUAUAAAUGAGACUAAUAACAUUCUUCUAACUAUCAAUGACCAAGAAGCUUAAUUUAUCAUACACUUUAAAAAAUUUAAAUUUAUUCGGGUUUAAUAUAUUUGAGCAUAUUUAAUCAUAAUAUUAUAAAUAUUGAAACUCUUAAAAGGUUUUUUUUUCUUUUGACAUCAUUACCAAUAAUAAGUCUCUCUUUGAGAGGGACCGAGCUCGAGCUCGGAUCUGGUGAGAAGGCAAACAGAGUUGAGAACCACUAGCUCACUUGAUCAUUCUCACUCUUAAAAGGUUUAAAUAUUAUAAAUGUUUAAAUUUUAUAGAAUAUUAUUAUAAAUAUUUAAUCUUCACUCUUAAAAGGUUUAAAUAUUAUAAAUGUUUAAAUUUUAUAGAAUAUUAUUAUAAAUAUUUAAUCUUUAUAGUCUGUUUAAAAUAUUUGAGCAUUUAAACUUCACAUAAAUUUUAAAAUACUAUAAAUAUUUAAAAUCUAAAAAACUUGAGGUAUCAAUAAUAUUCUAACUACCAAAAAGUUUAAAAUAUAUAAAAAGUUUAAACUAUUAUUAAUAUAACUCUAUAGAAUUUAAAUAUAAAAAUGGAAGUUAUAUUUAACUAAGUGUCAAUAAUAUUAUGUUGGUCACGACGAUCAAUAAGGGAAGCAGCAGCAAGGAGACGCCAUCCUUAAAGAUAAAUAAUAGGGUUUCUUAGUUUAAUUUGAUUAAACAAGGAUUUAUCUAAACUAAAAUUAAUUGAAACUUUUUUUUACUUUAAUUAAUAAAUCGACCAACUUAGUAAACUAACCUGAAUAAACUGAUUUCAAUCCAAUUCUUGAUACAAACUCAAGUUUUUCAUUAUUUCCUAGGACACGGUCGUACAAUAUCAUACAAGUAAUGAGACAUAUAGUAAAAACUAGCUUGUUCACAAACCGAAACAAAACAAUGUAGAUUUAUUUAUUUAUUUUAUGGACCUCUUGUGUUUUUGUUUUUUCUUAUUGAUUUGUACGGCGACUAGAAAUCACUUAUAUUGAUACUGUUAAUUAGUCAUCCAUCCAUUUUAAUAAAUCAGAGAAAACCAUACAUUUCCAUUGUACUAAGUAUGCUUUAGGGAUUAUACUUGUUUCCAUUUGAUUGCCUCCUGAGUUCAAGCAUUCACGUACGAUUUGUUUAUUCACUGGCAUUGUGUCGUUUGCAAGAGAUGUAAAACCUCAUGUUGGUAUAGCGCUCAAUGCUCCUAUGCCAAUUCAAUUUGAGAUGCAAAAUAUUUUUUAAUUAGUAUAAAUAUUACAACCAUCAACUACCAAAUACUUCUUAUCAAUGUAGACCAAAUAAUCACAUGAGAGAAAAUCUGCUUUGAUAGCUUAAGCAACUGGUAUAUUUGAUUUUUUUUUCUAAUCACCCACACAUAUAGAAAUGCUUUGAUGAAUAAAUCCUCACAAUAGUAAAAAACAUAACUCCAUAACACAAUAUAUUUUAACAUGAUUAUGAAAAAUCAUCAUAUGACAGAGAGUUAAAUUUAUAUGAUCAAGUUUUAACUUUACAUAAAAAAUUGUAGAUAAACUUGAUUUAAAUAAAUCCAUAGUUGAGACUUACACAUCAUAUGAUAUUAACUUAGUUUUUUCCCAUUGCAUUUGUCAUAACUAUCUUCAUUUCUUUUUAUAUAAUGAUAAACGUUGAUUCUUAAUUGAAUAAGUGGUACGAUUAUUGUGUAGAAACUCUUAUAUUUUAUCACUAAAACUUAAUUCUAAACAUAUUACUUACUGCCAAAACAAAUCUUGUGCAUUUUCUUAUCACCAUUUGCCAUUUUUGGCGAUACAAAAGAAUAAGAAUUUGUGAUAGAAUGUGAACAAAAAUCUUAAAGAUAUAUAUAUAUAUAUAUAUAUAUAUAUAUAUAAGAAUGGAAUAUUCAUGGUCGAGAUGAACUCCACAUAAAUCAUUCUCUUCGGCUCGGGAUCCAACUUAGAUGCUCGAGAAGCAAGAGCGUCCACUGAAGUAGUUUGGCUCCGUGGAAUUUUUAUUACCUCGAAUUUAUAAGGUUUUUUAACUUCCUUUUUGUGAAUUCUAAGCACGCUUCCAUUCGGGAAUCCUUAACCUCAUACUCUCCAUUAAAUUGAUUAACCACGAGCUAAGAGUCACAAUAGGCUAUCACAUCUCGAGCUACGAUGGCAAUAGCCAACGACUAAACGCAAACCAAUAAUUAACGCUUUGUACUCAACUUUGUUGUUUGUAGCCGAGAACCGUAGGUGGAAAGAUUGUUCUAUAAAUUUUUCACGGUAGUGUGUCGAGUCAAACACCUAUUCAUGAACCUUGUUUUAAUUAGGAACCAUCAACAUGUAGCUUCCAUGUUGCGUACACUAGGUGAUAGUUCGGUUAAAAAGUCGGCUAUUACUUGGGCCUUCGCUCUAGUUUUUCCUUUAUACACUAGGUUAUACUUGCUAAGAUCUAUCACACACUUCCCUAAUCUUCUGGACUUGCUGGGACCGUGUAAUAUUGACCGGAGUGGUUGAAUUGUCAACACUUCUAUUAGGUGCAACUGGAGAUAAAGAUAAACAUUUCGGACUGACACCACCACGACGAGAGCUAAUUUUUUCAUACUAGUGUACCUAGUUUCUGGACUUGUCAUACUCUUGCUGACAUAGUAGAUUGGUCGCUACUUUCCCUGGUAUUCUCUUACAUUUACGUCGCUAAUGCAUUCUUCGACAUGGUCACACGGAUACGUAGAAAUAUAAAGUUUCUCCUAUCUAUGGUUUUGACAAGAUCAGCGGAUUGGUGAGGUAUUUUUUUUCAGUUGUUUGAAUGCAUCAUUGCACUUUUUAGCAACUAGUAGAAAGAAAGACACUUGUCUGUAGAUCGGAAGAUGAUCAUAUAGAGAGUUGUGAUCAUGCCCAUAAGACGACGUACCUCAGAGUUGACAUUGUUAAGAAAGCAUUUACCUGACUAGAAUUUACUUUUAUGUAUGUACAAUGCGUAAUUACAAAUAUUUGUUAAAAUUAAUUUAUACUCAAAAAAUGAAAAUUAGACCCUUUUUCUGGUCACCAAAACAGGAAAUGGAUAAUAUAUACUAUAUCUCAUCAAAAUCUGACAAUUAAUUGGUUGAUAUAGUUCAAGAGAUUGGGUAAUAAUAAUAUAGAAAUAUAAUUGUUUGAAUUGAAUUAGUUUUAGACAUCACAUAAUUCUUUCUAUUCUUUUUCCAUCAUCAUAUAAUUCUUUCUAAAUUGGGUCUGAUUGUAUUAGUAUCCCAGUCUCCCUUACUUGUUAAUUCAUUCUUCAAACAAUGUCUAUUUUGGUCAAUAUAAACUCAUGCAUGCAUAAACAUAAUCAACCAAAAUUGAGAAAUUGACCCAAAUAAUGAACUAUAUUUAUUAAAUUAAAUAUAAAAAAAACAACAAUUCGUUAAUUAAAUCCGUUAAUGGUUACAAAUUUAAAUUAACACCACACUCUCUGUAUAAUAAAACUCCUCAAAACUUGGAAAAAUAUAACAGAAGAAAUUGGAGAAAGAUACGGAGGUCCAUUUAUGAGAGACACACCAUCGCUAUUUUAUCAACCUCUCUUACUUCGCCACGUGUCAUCUCUUCUCUAACUGAAAAUAUUCUCCCAUUUCCCUCUUAAACCCGUAAUACAACACUUUUCCCCCAUUUUUGAUUUCUCUCUCUCUUUUGUUCUUCUUCUUCAUCUUCAUCUUCUUCCUCUCGCCAUUUUUUUUUUUUUGUAAUUUUCUCUCUCUGUGUGUUAUGUUCAUCCCCGACGCGAAAUUGAGUCACCUCGUCUCUGCUUCAGGUGAAAUCGUCGUUCGAUUUUAUCUUAAUCUCCAUGUUUUGUAUCCUUCGAUUACACUCUCACGAUUCGUUUCUUCAAUUUCUUCAGGGAAGGGGAUUUAGAAGCUCUUCGCAUCUAACGUGAGUUCGCUUGUUUUUUUUUUUACGUCGAUUUAGCUUCCGUGAGAAAUGUGAUGAGAAACAUUGAAUCGGUGUUUUAUUUUCGUUUUCAUUAUCUUCUUCUUCGUCGCAUGAGCUCUUGAUUUUGAUUUUUUGUCGUCGUUGCUGAUUUUGAGGUUGUUUAGUGUGUUCCUUACGAUUCCGAUUUGAGUUCCCGUGAAAUUGUUUGCGGAAUUUGGUAUCUGGCUCUUCCGUGUUCGUCUUCUUCUCGAUUUCAGUUUCCGUCGCUUGAUCGAGCUCCGUUUUUGAUUGUUCAUGUAUUUACGGAGCUGUGUGUGUUUGAGAGAACGUGUAAUUUCAACGUAGCAGCUUAAUCUCUUGACAAAAUUUGCUGUUUUUGGUUUAUUAAAUCCUUUGUAUCGUUGUUUCUAUUUGUUGUUUUGUUGAUUAGAAUCGUUGUGAUUGAAUGUUUCGUAACAGGGAGAGAGAUGGCACAGAGUAGUACAUCUCAUGACUCUGGCCCUCAGGGGCUUAUGAGGCGGCCAUCUCGUAGUGCUGCCACAACAGUGUCUAUUGAAGUUUUUGAUCAUGAGGUGGUUCCGGCCUCCCUUGGUACCAUUGCACCUAUUCUACGUGUUGCUGCAGAGAUUGAACAUGAGCGCCCCCGUGUUGCCUAUCUCUGUAUGAUUAUUUUGCGUUUCCUUAUUUGAUUGCUUCUAGUAAUAAAUCUGAACUACUUCAGUUUAUGUCACUCACUUUAAUUUUCAUGUGCUUGUGUGAAGGUCGAUUUUAUGCAUUUGAGAAAGCUCAUAGGCUGGAUGCAAGCUCUAGUGGAAGAGGUGUGAGGCAGUUCAAGACACUUCUGUUUCAAAGAUUAGAAAGGGUAAUCAUCUCUUACUAUUCCAUUCGCACAGUAUAUAGCAAUUCAUUAGAACUUUUAAAUCAGGCUUUUAUCAUCUAAACCCCCAACAUAGAUAGAUAGCCAGAGUUAAGAUGAACCCAUCUGUAGCUUUCUUGAUAUUCUGUGUAGUAGUUUUCACAAAGGAUGUUUUCAAAUUCCAGUUUAAAAAGUCAUCAUCUCAGGCCUUCACCUUAUGAUACAGUCUGCUACUUGAAAAGUUCCUUUAUUCACAAGAUCUACUUUGCAAAUUACUCAUAAAUGGGGGCUACAGAGUAGAAUUUGUUUAACACUUUUGAGAUUAUCCAUUUGAAAUGAUACAGAUAAUGACAUUUUCUUCUAGCAUGAGUAGAUAUAAUAACAAAUUUUUAUGACACAGGACAAUGCGUCAAGUCUUGCUUCUAGGGUGAAGAAAACUGAUGGGCGGGAAGUUGAGAGCUUCUAUCAACAAUAUUAUGAGCACUAUGUCAGGGCACUUGACCAAGGAGAUCAAGCAGACAGGUAAAGAUGGUUGUUGUGUGUGGGGCUUUGAAGAUAAAAGAAGUAGUGUUCUUAUUCUGACGGAUUUUCUGAACCAUCAUCUUGCAGAGCUCAGCUUGGUAAAGCAUACCAGACGGCUGGAGUGCUCUUUGAAGUGCUUAUGGCAGUUAACAAGAGCGAGAAAGUGGAAGCAGUAGCUCCUGAGGUUUGUGUCCAAAUUCUAUUUCUUCAGAGCAACCAGGACAGCUAUAAAAGAUUCAUUAAUGAUUACAUUACCGAGAUGGGAGUUUAAAACGUUUCCAUAUGUGUUUCUGUGUAGAUUAUUGCAGCUGCUAGAGAUGUCCAAGAAAAGAAUGAAAUUUAUGCACCGUACAACAUUCUUCCACUAGAUUCUGCUGGCGCUUCGCAGUCCGUUAUGCAGCUUGAGGAGGUAUUUAUUAUCUGAAUGAUUCUCCCAAUGUUUUAAUCCAAUGGCCGCUGAAUUUUCAUAUCUGCCUUCUUAUACCUCUAACGCUGUUUGAUGACUAGAUCAAAGCCGCUGUAGCUGCCUUGGGUAACACUCGUGGAUUGAACUGGCCAUCUGGAUUUGAGCAGCACCGAAAGAAAACUGGAAACCUGGAUCUUCUUGACUGGUUAAGAGCUAUGUUCGGAUUUCAGGCAAGAUGGUGAUCUAAAAAGUGUAACAAGAAGAUAUGAUGUACUGAUGUUAAAGCAGUGAGACAUAUUUCUUACCACUUAUCUCUUUGGUUUUUACAGAGAGACAAUGUCAGAAACCAGAGGGAACAUCUGGUUUGUUUACUUGCUGAUAAUCACAUAAGGUUGACUCCCAAGCCAGAACCUCUGAACAAGGUACCAUUGAUAGUUCCAUCCGUUCACCUAUAGAGCAUUUUUUCAUGUGCUUUGAGAACCACCGGUACUAUUGUGAUGAUUAGAGUGCAUAAUUAAAAGCUUUGAGUACGGUCUGAUUAAAGUUCAUCGACCUUAAUUGUGAACAACACCAUAGACUGGUUAUUCAUUUAUAUCAAGGGGUUUCUUUUCCAGGUCCCUGAAAACAGAAUUAUCCUAUGCAAAUAGAAAAACUUUUAAUAGCUCUAUCUAACUAAUCUAUAUAUGCAGCUCGAUGACAGAGCCGUUGAUGCCGUCAUGACAAAGCUCUUUAAGAACUACAAGAACUGGUGCAAAUUUUUAGGACGUAAACAUAGUUUAAGGUAGCUGGCAACAUUUUCUUUUUAAAAUGCCUUGGAUGGGAAAUGUUUUUGAAUGAUGUUCAUAUUGUAAUCAAGAUUCACUCUGUUUUUAUGAUAAGGCUUCCUCAAGCUGCUCAAGAUAUACAACAGAGGAAGAUACUAUAUAUGGGCUUGUAUCUUCUCAUCUGGGGUGAAGCUGCAAAUAUUCGCUUCAUGCCAGAAUGCUUAUGCUAUAUUUUCCACAAUGUCAGUGAUUCUCUUCAUUUACCUUUUUUAAUUCCUUUUUGUUUCCCUUUUCUCUGGCGUAAAAAUUAACUAUAUCUCUUGGUUAUGCUCAGAUGGCUUAUGAACUCCAUGGUCUCUUGGCUGGAAAUGUCAGCAUUGUUACUGGAGAAAAUAUUAAGCCUUCUUACGGUGGAGAUGAUGAGGCAUUUCUACGGAAGGUCAUUACACCAAUCUACCGUGUAAUUCAAAAGGUACAUGUUUGACUGAUAGGUCGAUGACAUUUUAAGAAUUUUUGACAUUGUAUACACCACAGCUAACUUUUUUAUGAACUAGGAAGCAAAUACGAAUGCGAAUGGCAAGGCUGCUCACUCAGAUUGGUCCAACUAUGAUGAUCUGAACGAAUAUUUUUGGUAAUUUUGACCUCAAGUCUGUAAAUUGAACGUUGAGUUGGUGAGGACACCAAAAAUUUAUUAUUUUUGCAUCACUGUUAUGUAGGACUCCUGAUUGCUUCUCUCUUGGCUGGCCAAUGCGUGAUGAUGGAGAUCUUUUCAAAUCAACCCGUGAUAUGACACAGGUAGUCUCUUUUAGUUUUCCUUAGCUGUUUCCCUUCCCCCAUUGAUCUAAUCAGUACUUCGAUUUUAUAUUUAUUGAUAGGGGAAAAAGGGAUCGAUAAGAAAAGCAGGAAGUACAGGAAAAUCAAAUUUCACUGAAACUCGAACAUUUUGGCACAUAUAUCAUAGUUUUGACAGACUGUGGACAUUCUAUUUAUUAGCACUCCAAGUAAGCAAUCUGGCCAAGCUAUAGCAUGAUUCCUCAUAACAUGAGUCAGUCAAUAUGACAUUUGGACUUUUCAAUAUAGGCAAUGAUCAUUCUUGCAUUUGAACGAGUGGAACUGAAGGAAAUCUUACGCAAGGAUGUUCUAUAUAAUCUAUCCAGUAUCUUCAUUACCGCGGCUUUCCUACGCUUCCUUCAAAGUAUGGCACUUCAACGCUGUGAUUUUUUUUCCAAUUUUUUAUAUGGAGUUUCUUUGUGCUCAUCAUUUGGUUACGUUUCUUGAUAAUAAAGGUUACCUUGUUUUUUGCUUUUAUGCUAGGUGUCCUGGACGUUAUCUUAAACUUUCCAGGUUUCCACAGGUGGAAAUUUACUGAGGUUUUGAGAAAUAUUCUCAAGAUCAUUGUCAGUCUCGCUUGGUGUGUCGUAUUACCCCUCUGCUAUGCUCAGUCUGUCUCUUUUGCUCCUGGGAAGCUGAAACAAUGGCUAUCAUUUCUUCCACAAGUUAAAGGCGUUCCUCCGCUUUAUAUCAUGGCUGUAGCAUUGUACUUGCUUCCAAAUGUACUGGCAGCUAUCAUGUUCAUUUUUCCAAUGCUUCGACGCUGGAUCGAGAAUUCAGACUGGCAUAUAUUCAGAUUGCUCUUGUGGUGGUCACAGGUAUGAAGGCUGGGCUUUAUUUUCCCCUCUCUUCUAUUCCUCCUGCAUGAAAAUUCCAAUUUAUUUAGUCAGCAAAACCCUUAGGCAUUUUAAAAGACCUCUGAAUUACGAUUGUUAAGACUAUCUGCAACUGAGAAUCAUUAUUCUUGUAUUGCUGGUUAGUUUUAUAUAUAUGUCAAGAGGAAAUAUUGAAUUUUUAUUGUCUAUAUCAAUGUUUAAUUAAGUUUUUGAUUUCGGCUUAUGCUCAGGGGGUAUAUUACAUGUUGUUUGGAUAAUUUACUGAUGUGGAUGUCCCAUGUUUAUCCUUUUCAGCCAAGAAUUUAUGUUGGAAGAGGGAUGCAUGAAAGUCAAAUUGCACUCAUUAAGUGAGUAUAUUGAGUCAAAUAAGUUCUGCUGAAAAAUUGAUCGCACAUAAUGCUUAUAGAAUAUUUUUUGCUAACAUGUUUCUUGAAAUUUCCAGGUAUACGAUUUUCUGGCUGUUGCUUUUCUGUUGUAAAUUUGCAUUCAGCUACUUUCUACAGGUUUGACACUGUAUAACGUUAUGUGACCUGAUUUUGGACUAUCAUAAUCGUACUCACCUUCAGGCUUCAAUACCGCUCUUUGUGUCCUCUCCCAGGUGAAACUUUUGGUGAAGCCAACUAACGCAAUUAUGAGCAUUCGCCAUGUAAAAUACAAAUGGCAUGAGUUUUUCCCCAAUGGUAAUUUUGCCAUUCGUUCGGAACUAUAUUUUUCGACUUUGGUGUUAGUAUUUUGGGUAAGCUAAAUGUUUCGACUCGCCAUGCAGCUGAGCACAACUAUGGAGCAGUGGUAUCCCUCUGGCUACCAGUUAUUCUGGUAAGUUUUUCUUAACCGCAUGUCUAAAUGAUGAGAUAGCAAGUUUAUGGGUGUCUCAUGUUCCUCACUUUUUCUCAGGUGUAUUUUAUGGACACCCAAAUUUGGUAUGCUAUAUUCUCCACUAUAUGUGGUGGUGUCAUUGGGGCCUUUGAUCGUUUGGGAGAGGUAGUUUUUUCUGGAUCCAUUCUACUCACUUCUCUUACCCCGGAUAUCAAAUAGUGUUUGAGAUGCUUCUUUUACAUUGCUCAUAUGUGUUACUACUCUCUCGAUUAACAUACUUGCAUUAGGGUCUUCUUACUAUUUUUAGUUAGUAUACAAUUUUCUCCUUAAUAUUACUGUUUUUAGUGUAAUCCAAAGGGUUCAGUAAACUAGUAUCGCUUCUAAAUAGUUGUUUUCUAGUUUCCAAAGGUAGCUAUGAUAGAUCCUCUAUAAGAAGUGUUUUUGACUUUCAUUCAAACGCAUAUCUGCUUGUGAGAAUUAAUUAGAUGUCACAGACGCAACUAUGGAAAUUGAUGCAACGUCAUUAAAAUAUUUUAAAACAUAAGCUCAUUUCUGUUUGUCUUCCAGAUACGGACACUUGGAAUGCUAAGGUCAAGGUUUCAAUCAUUACCUGGAGCAUUUAAUACGUACCUUGUUCCUUCUGAUAAAACAAGGAGAAGAGGGUUUUCCUUGUCAAAAAGAUUUGCAGAGGUUACACACGACUGUUGCUCUUUUGUGUCUACAAAGUGAUUGUUGAAAGAAUGUUGUCAUACAUCUACUAAAUAAUAUUUUUGUGUAGGUCACUGCUGCAAGAAGAACUGAAGCGGCAAAAUUUUCCCAACUAUGGAAUGAAAUAAUUUGCAGCUUCCGUGAGGAAGAUCUCAUCAGUGACAGGUAACAACUUAGGUAUUAUACUACCUUCUUUAUAAAUCCCAAAUUUUCUGUUUCUUAAAACCAACUGUUUGUCCAGGGAAAUGGAUCUGUUGCUUGUUCCUUAUACUUCAGACCCUAGUUUGAAACUAAUUCAGUGGCCACCGUUUUUGCUUGCAAGCAAGGUUUGUGAUCCUUCUUUCUUGCCAUCACAAAUACCCUUUCUUCUUCUUUUUAUUGAUAAAGUUCUCAUCUUGUUACAGAUACCGAUAGCAUUGGAUAUGGCAGCUCAAUUUCGAACAAGAGAUUCUGACCUUUGGAAGCGCAUAUGCGCAGACGAAUACAUGAAAUGUGCUGUCAUUGAAUGCUACGAAUCAUUCAAACAUGUCUUGCACACCUUGGUAAUUGGGGAGAAUGAGAAAAGGUAUUUCCUCAUUCAUUAUAAAAGUUCUUAAUUCAUUAAAAUCUAAAAGGAUACCCUUACUCCAACAUUCCUCUUCCAUUCAAGCUACUGGCUGUCUAAUUAGUUCUGAUCAUAGAUGUUCUAUACCUUGUCUCCACUUUAUUAGCUGAUGUAGUGUAGUAAAAUUUCUCCUCCUUAGUCUUUAUGCAUUUACGGCAUUUAUACGUGCAUCAACAUUCCUCUGUUUGAUGAUAAAAAAGUUUAUUUAUUCUUUCACAAUAUAUGUGCUUCAACCUGCAAUUUCAGUCCCUUAUUGAGUUCUAGAAUUUAUUUAAAUGAUACUAAGAAAAGAUACAAUCCACAGGAUUAUUGGUAUCAUCAUCAAAGAGGUGGAGAGCAACAUAUCAAAGAAUACCUUCCUUACGAAUUUCAGAAUGGCGCCUUUACCUGCUCUUUGUAGUAAAUUUGUCGAGCUUGUCGGAAUCUUGGUGAGUGAAUCACAUCCUUGUUUAAUUAUUGGUAUUGAUUUAAGACUAUCCGUGGUAGUGGAUAGUUUUUUAUGCCACUUUCAGUAUGAAUUCAUGUUUUGAUGGAAAGGAUAAUACUUGCGAAGCUAAUUUAUCUGGGAAACAAAAUAAUUAUGUCUAACUUAUGAUGCUGCAGAAAAAUGCGGACCCAUCCAAAAGAGACACAGUGGUGCUGUUGUUGCAAGAUAUGUUGGAAGUAGUGACUCGAGAUAUGAUGCAAAAUGAAAACCGGUUAGUGUGCUAUUUUUCAUAGUUAGAGAACUAGAGAAUUCUUCUUAGUUUCUAUGUGAAUAUGCAUGUAUAUAGUAUACAUACAAAGAAGAAUAAACAUGGGUGGCACCUUUUUCCAGUGAAUUGGUUGAACUUGGGCACACUAACAAGGAGUCUGGAAGGCAACUCUUUGCUGGAACUGACGCAAAACCUGCUAUUCUGUUUCCUCCAGUGGCAACAGCUCAAUGGGAUGAACAGGUAAAAAUAUCAAAAACUAAAAUAUAAGGCUGUUAGGAAUAAUCUUUAUAAACAUUUUCAACAUUAUUAUUUAAUUCAUUGUUGUAGAUAAGUCGCCUUCAUUUACUUUUGACGGUAAAAGAGUCUGCAAUGGAUGUUCCGACAAACCUUGAGGCGCAAAGAAGGAUUGCCUUCUUCACAAACUCACUGUUUAUGGAUAUGCCGCGAGCUCCUCGUGUCAGAAAUAUGCUCUCCUUCAGGUCUGUUCUCCGGUUAUCACCAUUUUCAACAGAAUUUAUGCUUCGUGAAUGACACCAUGUGCUAUCUAUAUUCUCCAAUUCAUAUUUUUCUACUGUUUAGGAAUCCAUCUUUUCCAGUUUUUUCACAUUUUGUUUUCCUUUGUGCUGGAAUGAAUGUACAAUAUAAAAUCCGUGUAGCUGAUACUAUGGAACUUUUAUGCAUAUAUACCUACUGCAGAGAUCUUCCUUAUCAGUAAGCUUAGAGUUUUAUUUUUGCGUUUACAGUGUUCUGACUCCAUACUAUAGUGAGGAAACCGUGUACUCUAAAAAUGACCUGGAAAUGGAGAAUGAAGAUGGUGUAUCAGUUGUAUACUACUUGCAGAAGAUCUUUCCAGGUAUGUCUUAUUGAUGACCUCUUGUUGUUGAAUUUUUUUCUCAAUGCGUUCUGUAAUUAUAUCCCCCAACCCCCAUUUCAGAUGAGUGGACUAACUUCUUGGAGCGGCUUGGUUGUAAAGAUGAAACUUCUGUUUUGGAGAGUGAAGAAAAUAUAUUACAGCUUCGCCAUUGGGUUUCUUUGAGGGGACAGACUUUGUUUAGAACAGGUAACUUAUACCAUCCACGCCUACUUAUAUUUUGUUUCAUUGUUUUUUUUUUUUUGCUUACACCAAUUUGUAUCCUGCAGUUAGAGGAAUGAUGUAUUACAGGCGGGCACUAAAGCUUCAGGCUUUUCUUGACAUGGCUAAUGAAACCGGUGAGGCCUGAUUACUUGACUUGUGUUUAACUAAAAUCAGCUGCACAGAUUAAACGUUCAAGUGUUUUCAACUCACUGUACUAUGCCAUUCUUACAUUCUACAACCACAAUAUUGACAGUGUUAAUCAUUUGUGUGAAGUAUUCAUAGUUUCAUAUCGAACAUAUGCUCGACAAUCUCGAAUAAGUACUUAUAACAUAUCUUUUGUUUUACAGAAAUAUUAGCAGGGUACAAAGCCAUUUCAGAGCCAACUGAGGAGGACAAGAAAAGUCAGAGAUCCUUGUACGCUCAGUUAGAGGCAGUAGCAGAUCUGAAAUUUACUUAUGUUGCUACCUGUCAGAACUAUGGAAACCAGAAGCGAAGUGGAGACCGGAGAGCUACUGAUAUCUUGAACCUAAUGGUUAAGUAAGUCCCUCCUCCAUCUUUGUUCCUGAAUAGAUUCCAGCAUUGGUUAGUUCCCUGGUGAGUCUUAUUUUCAUAUUCAACGCUGCAGCAAUCCCGCCCUACGUGUAGCAUACAUUGAUGAGGUUGAGGAACGAGAAGGCGGAAAAGUGCAGAAAGUGUUCUACUCGGUGCUUAUCAAGGCUGUUGAUAAUCUUGAUCAGGUAUUUCUAAUAUUCUAAAUCUUAUCAGAUUGGCUAUACCAUAUGUCAUAUUUGAGAACCCCUAGAUUUGAACUUUGUAUUUGUUACUUUUCAAAGGAAAUAUAUCGGAUAAAACUGCCUGGUCCAGCAAAAAUUGGAGAAGGAAAACCCGAAAAUCAGAAUCAUGCUCUCAUUUUUACAAGAGGAGAAGCUCUCCAGGCUAUUGACAUGAAUCAGGUAAACUACAUUCCCCCAACCGGCAAUUUCCACAACAACAAAAAUCUUUGUUGGAAGACUUUUACUUACCAAAAUACUUAAUAAAUAGGACCAUUACUUGGAAGAAGCACUUAAAAUGAGGAAUCUGCUGGAAGAGUUCAAUGAAGACCAUGGAGUACGUGCACCCACUAUUCUCGGUUUCAGAGAACAUAUUUUUACUGGCAGGUAUUUGGGAAACUUGAUUAUUAUUUUUUGUUGAGGAUAGAACUCCCUUAUUUUUGCUAGCUGAUUUAUAUGUGUUUCACUUCGGCAUGGUGCUCGCAGUGUUUCUUCUUUGGCAUGGUUUAUGUCAAACCAAGAAACAAGCUUUGUGACCAUUGGUCAGCGAGUCCUGGCAAGUCCACUGAAGUAUGUCAUGGUCUUCUUUCCUUUAUUCUACACACAUGAAUCUUAUUUUAACUUAAAAUUUAGUAACUGUUAAAAAUGUAAUCCCUUCUACAUAUCAUUUAACUCACACACACACCUUAUAUUUCUGAUUUCAGGGUAAGGUUUCACUAUGGUCACCCUGAUGUCUUUGAUAGAAUCUUCCACAUCACUCGGGGUGGCAUCAGCAAAGCAUCACGGGGCAUAAAUCUUAGCGAGGAUAUCUUUGCUGGUUAGAUUUAUGAACCUUACUUCUUCAAAUAAAAUAAUUGUGUUGGUUCCUUCAUCAUUCACUUAUGAUUGAUUCAUGUAUGUAUCUAGGUUUCAACUCAACUUUGAGGCGUGGUAAUGUCACUCAUCAUGAGUACAUCCAAGUAGGAAAAGGAAGAGAUGUUGGUUUGAACCAGAUAUCCCUCUUUGAAGCCAAGGUUGCUUGUGGCAACGGGGAGCAAACAUUGAGUAGGGAUCUCUACAGACUUGGGCAUCGUUUCGAUUUCUUCCGCAUGAUGUCAUGCUACUUCACUACAGUAGGAUUCUACAUCAGCUCGAUGGUAACUUAUGAUCUUCAAAUGUCAAACUAAGUUUAUCAUUAACUCAAAUUUGCUUAAAACAAAACAUAACAGAGUAAUUAUGUGUACUGCAGAUUGUUGUCCUCACAGUUUAUGCAUUUUUGUAUGGAAGACUUUAUCUGUCAUUGAGUGGAGUGGAAGAGGCAAUAGUAAAGUUUGCAGCGGCAAAAGGAGAUAGUUCCCUCAAGGCAGCAAUGGCGUCACAGUCCGUAGUGCAAUUGGGUCUGCUGAUGACACUACCAAUGGUGAUGGAGAUUGGGCUAGAAAGAGGAUUCAGAACUGCUUUGUCGGAUUUAAUCAUAAUGCAGCUUCAGUUAGCGCCUGUCUUCUUCACCUUCUCGCUUGGGACAAAGGUUCAUUACUUUGGUCGGACCAUCCUACAUGGGGGAGCAAAGUACAGAGCAACAGGGCGUGGUUUUGUGGUGAAGCACGAGAAGUUUGCAGAGAACUACAGAAUGUAUUCGAGAAGUCACUUUGUGAAAGGAAUGGAGCUUAUGGUGCUGCUGAUAUGUUAUAGGCUGUAUGGGAAAGCAGCAGAGGACUCAGUGGCGUAUGCGCUUGUCAUGGGCUCAACAUGGUUCCUGGUGGGUUCCUGGUUGUUCGCCCCGUUCUUUUUCAAUCCCUCAGGAUUCGAGUGGCAGAAGAUUGUUGAUGACUGGGAUGAUUGGAACAAGUGGAUAAGCAGCAGAGGAGGCAUCGGAGUGCCAGCAAACAAGAGCUGGGAAUCAUGGUGGGAAGAAGAACAAGAGCACUUGCUUCACUCUGGAUUUUUCGGGAAGUUCUGGGAAAUAUUCCUCUCGCUGCGGUUUUUCAUCUAUCAGUACGGUAUCGUUUACCAUUUGAACCUAACCAAGGAGAGCCGAAUGGGAAAACAACAAAGCAUCAUUGUGUAUGGACUGUCUUGGCUGGUGAUCGUGGCAGUGAUGAUUGUCCUAAAGAUAGUCUCAAUGGGGAGAAAGAAGUUCAGCGCCGAUUUCCAGCUAAUGUUCAGGCUUUUGAAGCUGUUUUUGUUCAUCGGAUCAGUGGUGAUCGUAGGGAUGCUAUUCCACUUCUUGAAGCUAACGGUAGGAGACAUUAUGCAGUCUCUGUUAGCGUUCUUACCGACAGGAUGGGCAUUGCUACAGAUAUCACAAGUCGGAAGGCAACUAAUGAAAGCAGUAGGGAUGUGGGGAUCCGUUAAGGCCUUAGCUAGAGGGUAUGAGUACAUUAUGGGAGUUGUUAUCUUCAUGCCAGUCACCGUACUCGCGUGGUUUCCUUUCGUCUCUGAGUUCCAAACCAGGCUUCUCUUCAACCAAGCCUUUAGCCGUGGUCUCCAAAUCCAACGUAUCCUCGCCGGUGGUAAGAAACAGAAAUGAGACUCCGUAUAAUUUCUCUGAUUCUCCUUUCCCCAAUUACUCUUAUAGCACUCUUACAAACUCUUUUCCUCAAUUCUUGCUUCUUGUGUUUUGUAAACUUAAGCAAAAACAUAUACAUAAUACAUGUAUAAAUCGUGAGAAAACUUACCAAUAGAUUUAAGUACAAUUUUUCUAUUAUCAGUUGAAGUUUAUGUAACAAAAGGAAUUUUCUAACAUUGUUUUAGUAUUUUCAGUUUGAGAAACAUAGCACCAUUUUUGUGUUUUUCUAACCUUACGACUAGCUUUAGCUCCAAAAAAAAACUCCAGUACAAACAUAGCAAGUGGGAGGAGACAAAGGAGAUGAUAAGUCAUUAGGAGUGUUAUAUAUUACAGUCUAAAUUCCAUAAAGCUAACACCUAACAUCAGACUCAUGAACUUGGAAUUAUUUGUUUACCUACAAGAAGAAGACUCUACACCUCUAAGGAAUGAUCUACGCCACCAUAUCUGAAACGCCUUGCUUAGAUUAGGACACUCAGUCCCAUGCUUUGAGAACCACCUGAACCAUUCCAUGAAAACUUGAUACUGUUGCUUUACUGGCAGUGUUAACAGUGUUUGCCCCAUCCCUUCCUCUACUUCCCUCAUGUCUUGUCCUUUCUUGCAUCUUUGUAGCCACCCGAAAUCUACUAACAUUGGCUUGAACCACGCUUCUACUAGUCCCGCCCUUGCUUCUCCUCCGCAUUGAACUCUCCUUUUCCCCAUUGCAAUAAAUAUCGCUCCUGUUACUCUGCUUACUUCAUACCUCACCAUUGGCGAUACAUUCUCAUGCAUCUCCACUAGCUUUCUUUGCUUCCCCCAUAUCUCCACAAAUUCCUCUGCUAUUUCCCAAUCUAUCAUGAUCUCUAGCAGCCAGUUUAUGUUCUCUACUUCCCUCGAAAUACUUUCAAUCAAUGGUUUCUCUUUCUUGCUACUACCUCUACUGCCUUCUUCAAACAGCUUAGCUAAUGAAUCCACGCAACACUUGCCUGCUCUAUAUAUUUCUUCCUUGUUGAUUUCAGGCUGUUCUUUCUCAUACACUGAACUUUUGCAAAGAAGACCCUUCACCAAAGAUCUGAGUUCGUUUCUAGGAUUUACAUCACUGCAGGAAGUUAUUGACCAAACAAGUUUCUUCGACAAACUGUCUUGCGAGUUUUCUGUCUCGUUUGAAUUAAACCUUGCCAAAAUUUCGCUGGUUGCAGCAUCAUCAAAGUUAUGAAUUGCAAGAAGCCUCCUCAGUUUUUCCUCUUCGUCCUCUGUCCAAGGAACAGCUUCAAGAUAUUUCAGACAGGACAAGACAGCUCUUGAAAAUUUGAUUCCAGCCGCUACCUAUUUGUGGUUAAGAAAAGCUUUGUUAGCACCACCAAUCACGACUAUAUGUUCAUAGAAAACAAUAAGAAUCAAUCUAACAUACAGAGCAGAGUAAUCUUCAAAGUUCCACGCAACAAUGUUCAUACUCAAAGAGAAACAAAAACCAUAUAAACUAACAUUUAAAUGUGAAAAGCUAUCUUCAUAGAUAUACUUAGAAGUGAGUAACUUGCACAAACAUAUUUUGGACCUCUACAAGAACACAAGAGUGUCCCCAACAAUAGUUCACUAAAAUGACCAAAUGAAGCUAGAACGAUGAACCAAGUACUAGUCCAUAUCUCAAGGCAAUAAAAUCUAAAUACUUAGUCAACAAUGUACUCUAAUACAUCCUAUCAUAUUCAUAUCUAAGGCUCAAGUGUUUAGCCUAAGAAGCGAAAAAAACAGAGUCUUUAACUAAGAUCAGCUACAGUGACUAAACCAAAUACACUGACACAACAACAAACCCAUCAAAUCAAACAUCUCAAUACAAUAAGAAACAAAGAUUCAUAUCACAAACCUCAAGUACAUCAAUGGCUCUGUAAACACCCAUUUUCAUAAACUUCUUGAUAAUACCAUCACUUCCCUCAAACAUAAGUUCUACAGUAUCCCUAAACACACCAAGAUUCUCCACAUCACAAACUUCAAUCCUGCAUGUGUUCUUCUUCAACCCUAAAGAUGAACACUUUUUGUCUUCCACAAUCAAACCCGCGAAAACUUCUGAAUUUGCAGCUAAAACCUCUGAGCUUAGCUCCAACACCAAAACCCCACCAUUUCUCCCCUUCAAACUCAACCUAGCAUCGUAACCCGAACCCGAACCCGAAUCCGAACCCGGACCCGAGACAGUAACUUCAAUCUUCGGAGCUCUAAAACUCUCUGAACGAAGACUGGGAGAUGAAUCUACAACCACCGGAUCCUCUUCUUCAUGAGUGGUCUCAGUCUCUUGCAUUGUAUCGAUGGUGAGAUCCGAAUCUAUGGGAGAAACCCGACCCGGUGAUAAGAUCCGACGCGGGUCGAUUCGACCCACUAUGUUUAAAGGAGAUUUAGAGCUUUGCGGUGAGCAAGGAACGGACUUGGGACCAAGUUUGGGUCUCUGCUGCUGAGAAUGAGAUUUAGCUUGAAUGUGGUUACGAGAUGAGAUUGAAAGGGCGUCAGGACUCGCCGGAGGUACGGCGAAAGAGCAACACCAUGAUCGUCGCCGAGAUAAAGGUCCGGCGGAGAAAUUAGUAGGUUUACGGAGAUCAGAGUCGCCGCCGCCCAUCGUCAUCAUAAGAGAGAGAGAGAGAAGUGAGAUGGUGAAGUAAAGUGAUAGAGAGAUUACUGUGUUAGCGUUUUGCUUUUUCUAUUUCUGGUUUUUUUUUUUUUUUUUUUUUUAAUUUACUUUAAUCAUGUUAAUUAAAGUUUUAAUCAUGGAAGUAUGGAACCAUAUAUUGUUGUGGGCACAAGUCCCUAUAUUGUUUUUUUUUUUUUUUUUGUUGGUUAACAACAUGUGUGUGAAGUGUGAACAUUGUUAUCGUGAUUUAACAAAAUUGCAAAUGAAUCAUACUCUAUUUUAAUUUGGUAAAUUCAUUCAUAUAUUGUGGCCAUUGUGUGAUAUUUGUCUUGGUACUUACAGUUUUGGUUAUAUUUUUCCUAACGAAUUAUCGUUUUGGUUAUAUUUUUCCUAACGAAUGAUCCUUUUGUAUUUUUUUUUAUCUAGACUUAUGUUAACAUAAUUAUGAAUAUUCAAACAGAUUAAAAGUGUAAAAUAAUACUGACAAAUUAUAUAUAUAUAUAUAUAUAUAUAUUGAGAGACAUUGUUUAAUGCGACGGGUUUGAAAUAAUAUAUUAAAAAUAAAAUAUUAUUGUUCUGAUAUUUUAAUACGGUUUAAAUUAUUAUUUUAUUAUUUUUAACAACAUUGAUAUAGAAUAUGUCAAAUCAACUCGUUUAAUUAAAAAUAUGUUAAAUCAACAUAUGCAUUUAUUUGCCAUUCAUGUAUUUCCAACUCUAUUUAUUUUUCUCUUUUGUAAGAAGUUAAAUAUUUUUCAUUUUACCAUAUUUGAUGUACUUUUUUACUUAUAACCAUAUUAGCAAUUCUAGAAAAUAUUAUACACAAACACAUUUUAUAUAUUUUUAUUAUAAAUGCUUGUCAUGUAACAUGUUACCAUAUGCUUUAAUUUAUCACUCAUGUAUUUUUCAACCUUAUUCAUUUUUAGUUUCUAAAACAAUGUUUUUUAUUUAUAUCCGAAUUUUAGUAACUUAAUUAGCAAGUAUAGUAAAAAUUAAUAGAUAUAAAUUAUCUUAAGAUUGAAGGUUCUUAGAUACAUUAAUUUAACAAAAGAUAUAAAACUUCUUAAGAACACAAUUUUCUAAUUUCUCUCAAACAAAUUUGGACUAUCACUUAUCUGUAUGAUACCGUUUUUGUUCUGUUUUGUUUCAAAUUAUUUUUACCAUCAUUAAAAAGCUUAAGAAUAUUGUAAUUUUAUGAGAAAUACCCUAGGACAACACUAUUCUAGAUUUUUCUUCCAAAAGUAGCACACACGCUCAAGUAUUCCAAAUCUAGCAUUUGUUAAUAGUGAAAAUUUGGAAAUCUGUCUUCUUUUCAAAUUUUCCUUUGAAAAAUAACCUCUGUUUUUUUCUCAUUUUUAAAUUAAUUUCCAUAUAUAUAAAAUUACUGAAAUAGCCUUAUUGAAAUAUAAUGGAAUUAAAAAAAUUAGAAUUAAACAAAAGCACAAUUAUUAUUUUUUAUUUAUUUUUUUCCAAAAAUAAUCUAGAAUUCUAGAUAUGUCAUAUUUUCAGAUCUGAAAAUAUUCUACAAAUUCGAACAAAGGGGAAAUAUUUGAACAAAUCCAAAAAACAGGCAACCAUAUUCGAACAUGUGGCUUGUAUGAUUUUAAGACAAUAACAGCCAUUGGGCCAUUGUACACUUCAAUUGUAUCCUUUCGUAGUUUAAUUAAUAUUACUUGCUGAUGUGUUACGAUUUUAAUGGGCUUAUUAGUUAGAUUUGGUGUGACUUGAUCGUAAAAGUAUGUCUUUUAAUCUGCAAUGGGCUUAUUAGUUAGACUUGGUGUAAUUUUAUGGGCUUAUUAGUUAGUCUUGGUGUAAUUUUCAUUUCCAUUCAGCUUCACCUUCUUCUUCCUCCGGCGGGGAACUUUCACAAUCAGAUUUUUUUUUUUAUGCUAAGGAACUGGGUUUUGUACUCUCCGGUUUUCUGAUUCCAAACAUUAGGAUCUCAUCUAUCAACUGUGAGUUUAUUGCAUUCCCUCAAUUGCAUUUCCUCACUUCCUUUAUGUGUUUAUGAAAUUCUGAAUUUGAGAUGUUUACUUGUUGCUUUGUUUUACAUCGAUCAAUCAGUUACCCUAUCUUAUGUGAUUCAAAGUUUCCAAUUUUUUUUUCAAUCUUUGUUACAAGCGUCCCGUUAGAAGAUGGAUCAUGUUUGUGUUCUCUAGAUUGUCCUGGGUCUCAAUUUGAGCUGAAAUCUAGGAAUAGAAUAUUUUCUAGUUUUUGAUUCAAUAGCUAAUCGUUGUUGGCUUUUGAAAAAUCUUUUACUGCUUCUAAUUUGGGAGUGUCUUGUAUUUAUGAUUAUCAUUAUAUAUUGUUAAUGGUGAUAUGCUUGUUUCUUUUUUUAUAGGAAAAUGCUGCAUAUAGCUAGUGUUUUUGGAGAAUGGUUGGUGAAGAAGAUAUCAUGGAAAUUCAUGGUGAAUAAAAAUAAAUGAGGUAAAUUAUUCACCAUUAAGGAUGAUUUGAAGUUUGAUGAUAUGAUUCAUAUGGUUCACGAUGAUUUCGGUAUAGAUAGGUUGAUUGAUAAGGUAGAUCUUAGCUAUGUGUUGCCUGAACCAAUGCUGAAAAACAUGCUGAAAGAUACUUCUCCUGUCUUGGUGAAUAAUAACUGGCAACUGGAAAGUUUAUUUUAAUUAUGCAGAUCGAUGCAUGUUCGUCUUUGCAUCUCAUCUAAGAAUUUAAACAUACAGCAUCAAGAUCAUGGUUUAAAUUUUUGUGAGAUUUCUAUGGUUUCUAGAGAAGGAGAUGAGAACAUGAUUAGAAAGUCAUCUAAUAAUGUUGGUAGACAAGAUACUGUUGAUGACACUAAAGUUGAGUUUUCUAACUUUCAUGAUGGGAAUGUCAUUAAAAAGGGGCAAUGGUUCAAGAGUAAAGCAAACCUGGCUUGGAAAAUACGGAUACUUGCAAGUGAACGCAAAUUCAGAAUUAUUGUUUACAAGUCGGACAAAAAAUUGUUGGUUAUCAAAUGUGUUGAUAAAAACUACAAGUGGAAGGUUCGAGCUACAAAGAAGAACACAUCAAGUGAGUACUUUUGGAUAACAAAGUAUAUUGACAAGCAUACAUGUCUCAGUAGAGAAAUUGGUCCACCAAAAGCGUAUUCAAAGAUAAUGAGUAAGCUUCUUUUGGAAAACUUUGGAAAUGGCGGUCUAAGUAUGAAACCAAAGUUGAUCUUGACAGGUCUGAAGAAACGAUAUGGUAUUAAUUCAAAAUACUGGAAGACAUGGAAAUCAAGAGAAGAUGCUUGUAUUGAGGUAAUGGUUCUGCAGAGAGUAGUUAUGCUCGACUCCCAGUAUACCUUUACAAGAUUAAAAAAGCUAAUCCAGGCACAAUAGCAUGUCUUGAGGUUGAUAAUCAUCGGAGGUUUAAGUACUUAUUCUUAUUGUUUGCUGCUUGCGCCAAAGGUUAUGAUUUUAUGAGAACAAUUGUAGAAGUUGAUGGGACCUUCUUGAAAGGAAAGUAUGGUGGUGUUUUGCUAGUUGCAACGGCUCAAGAUGGAGACUCUAAUAUUUAUGCUCUUGCGUUUGGAAUAGUGGAUUCUGAAAAUGAUGCAUCAUGGCUUGGUUUUUCACCAAGUUGAGAUAUGUGGUGCCAGAUGAUCAGAGAUUAGUAAUGAUAUCUGACAGACAAUUAUCCAUUGCUAAAGCCAUUGGAAAGGUGUAUCCAAUGGCUCAUCGAGGAAUUUGCACUUAUCAUCUAAAAAAGAAUGUUAUUUCUAAAUCUGGAGGAAAAAAGAUUGUUCGACUGGUUAGGACAGCAUCAAAAGCUUAUAUGCCAGAAGAAUUCAAUGGGAUUUUUGCUGAGAUACGGCGUAAGAAUCAGAAGCUAAGUGACUAUUUGGCUGAAGCAAAUAUGCUAUUGUGGUCACGUACUUAUUUUUCAGGAGAUAAAUAUGACAUUACUACAAGUAAUUCAGCAGAGUCAUUAAAUAAUGUGUUCAAGGCACCCCGUGAACUACCCAUUCUAUCAUUGAUUGAGGCAAUAAGAAAUACACUUACAUGGUGGUUUUUUUUAUCGUCGAGAAAGUGCUGCAAAACUUAGUUCAUCUCUUACACCUAGAGUUGAGAAAGAGCUCAAUAAACGGUGUGAUCAGUCAUUAAGUUUUGAUGUGCAGCCUAUAAAUCUGCAAGAGUUCCAAGUAACCGAUGGGUCAAAAUUUUUUGUUGUUGAUCUACAACGGAUGACUUGCACAUGUCGUGUCUUUGAUGUUGAGAAGAUCCCUUGCAAGCAUGCUGCUAAGGCUGCAUCGAGUCAAGGCAUAGAUCAUGGGUUAUUAGUACAUCAUUACUAUAUGAAGUCUCACAUGUACGCUGCAUAUUAAGAGAGUAUAAAGCCUAUAUAUGAUCUUUCGGAUUUGAGUGAGAUAUCUUCUAAUAUUGUUGGUCAGAUUUGUCUUCCACAAGAGGUCCAAAAAAAAACAAGAAGACCUAAAAAAAGAAGAUAUAAAGGUUUUGAAGAACAAAGGAUGAGGAAAAGGCUCGAAGACAACAUACUUGAUCAAGAUGUCAUCAUUCAGGACAUAAUCGUGCCACAUGUGACUUUGGUUUUUGAUGCGUUGGCUUAUGAUGUUUCAUUUGCUAAUUUUUUUUUUUGGUCAUUGAAUCAUAUGAUUUUUUCCGAUUUACUUGUACUGGGAUUUUGUUGAAUCUUUUCUGGGAUUUAGCUCAUCAACAAAUUUGAUUAUUAAUUUCAAUUAUAUGUUCCAAACGUUUUGUAACGUAACGUAACAUGGUUACAAACCAUAUGAAAUGAUCACUUAAAAUAUGCAACAUGUCGAGACAAAACAGGUGUAGACAACAAGUUAAGCCACAUGAAUGUUGUGGUUCUCUCUUCAUUAUCUUAAGUUGUUAGAUCCAUGCUUCAAGACCAAGCUAUGAGUUGUUGGUCUUUAUUACAUUUACAAGCUAUUAGAUGAUGCAUAGGUUCCUCUACAUGUAGUAUCCCUAAUGAGGAGAUCCUUCCAAUCCAACAAUGAACGUAUUCAAAAAUAAGAGUUUACCUUAAGAAUGGAGUUCCAGUAAACCAAAAAUGUCCACAUGAAUGCAUUCCCGGACUCUAAUAGAAAACAUAACAUAACACCAAACUACCUGCUGUCAUGGAAUCGAGAAACUUAGAUCUUUGGCAGUCUGAAUUCUUGACUGAUAAGUGGUUAAUCCACAUAUCUAGCAGCUGAAACCCAUGAAUUAAUAGCGCCUACAAAAAAUUCCGAUUAGCUCUAUAUUUUUUUUGAACAUGUCUAUAAAAAGAAAAAAACAAGUAAGACGAAGAAGACAACUAAUAUCAAUUAAGUACCUGCAAGAUCUCAAAAGCUAUGCUGCAUGGCUCAAAAAGUAACAAUAGAUACACAUAUGAACCAAUUGUACUGUAUGCAUAAGGGAAAGUUUUAUCCUCUAAGAUUGGAGGAAAAAAGUAAAUCCUUUUAUUCAACAUAUCACCAAGACAUGCUUGAAAUUGGUUACUAAAACAGAAACUGUUAUUACACAAAGAAAUCAAACAAGAAUCCUAAGUAGACUGCGGUCCAGAAAACAUAAUGAACUCACACAACAUCUUUCUCGCUCUAUGUCAUCCAUAUUUCACUCAGGAGAAGUUUUUGCCUUAAUCUCACCUUUGAGCAGAGUUCAUACUAUAUGAAUUUCAGGAUAAAAUCUCUCACAGUAUAUACAUGUAGUCUCCCUAACGAAUAAAACAGAGAUUUUAGCUAACCGUGAAGAAGAACACAAAAACUUGAGUUUGACUCAAACCGUUUGAGAAACUCGGACUCACAUAAGUUAAAUCAGUAGUUCCCCAAUACCCUUUAGGAAGCAAAUAGUCACAUAAUAAGAAAAAACAGUGAUAUAAAAUAAAGCUCAAACCAAGUGCAAAAAAGAAGAAAACGAAGCUGAAACCAAAUUCAAAACAAAAGAGAAUCACUAAAUAAAAAAAGAAAACUAGAGUACGCCUAAAAUCUUAUAACCAAAAUAAUCAACUAGAGAUCUUCGUAAUGGUUUGCUUCCAUGAACAUAUCUGCCACCAGCUUUUUUCGAAUAUCUUUGAUGUUUGCAUCACAUAGUCCAAUCUUCAUAUCUACCUCCAACGCAAGACACUCUAUAUAUUUCAAAGCAUAAACUCCACAAUCACCCGAUAUUUUGUUUUGUGGUAUUUCUUUAGACCUUCUAAUAGUGUAACUAGCAUCAUUUAACUCAUCUCUUUCAGCAGGAGAAACUUGCGUUUUGCUAAGAUAUGGUAUCAUAAGUGCAUAUGGCUUCACAAGCUCUGCAAUCUCUUCAUCACCAGUGACUCAAAGAAUAAUGUCGUACACAUCAAUGCGUCGGUGAAGAAUCGAUAUAGCCAAAGCAACCCAAUGAACACGGUUAAUGUUCAACACCACAAAUACUUCAUCGACAUCAACUCCCAUUCUCUUGUUUGUCCUUUCACAUCUUGGCAAAACACCGUUAUAAUAAUCGAUGAAUCGAGAGCUCCAAUCAAAGGUUGUAGGGUCUUCCAUAAAGUUUUGAUAGCUCUUAGUUAUCAUCACAGUAAAUGGAACAUCUAGAAACGCCAAUCGUUUACUAUGAAACGGGCAUGAGACCUUUCCUAAUUUUCUUCUCAGCAAUGACAUGCCGACGUCAAUGUGCUGUCACAAAAAAAUAUAUAUAAGUUAGUUAUUGAAAAAAUAUUUUCAUUAUUAAUACUAACUACAGUUUACUUACAUCUUCGCUUAACCAAAAUUGUGGUUUCAUAUAUAAGCUCCAAAAAAACUGUUUGUCUGCCUUUAUGCUGCCCAAAUUAACCGUUACAUUUCUGUAAUCAAUUAUUGCAUGUUUUCAAAUUACUAUUAAUUCUUUAAAGAACAUAGAAAAUUUUAUCGAAAUAUACAUAUCAAUCUUUAACUAUGAAUCCAACCAAUUAACAAUAUUUUCAUCUGCUAAAACAAAUGGAUCAUAUUGACAUGACUUCAAAACAUUCUUGUUUCUUCCCAUUCCUUUACCGGUAUCCAAUAACAAACCAAAACUUUUAAUUUUUGUAUCAAUGUCCUUGUUUUUCAAGGUACGCUUAUUCUCUUUUGCUGGAGUUACACUUAAAACUCUGACUGAAGAAUCAGAUUCUACUUUAUUACAAGUAGUCUUGAACUCCUUUUCCUUUCUUGUAAGAAAAAUAACUUUAUCAAACUAUAUUCAUAAAAUUAAAAGUUAAUAACAAACAUAAAUAUUUUUACCUUGUUUGCAUUUGGGAUAUAUCAGAAUUAAGUUUUAUGAUACAUGAAUCGAAGUAUUCUUUCGUCAAUACUUUGAUACAUGAUACCAUCUUUGUCUUCUUCGAGUCAUGAUUUUUGUUUUCUUCAGCUUUACGUUUUCUAUCACGUACUCCAUCGGUUCUUGAGUUCUUCAUCUCUGAUCAAUAAGGCAUAAACAAAAAAUAUAUUAUAUUUGAACAAUCAAUUAUUGUAUGUAAUUAUAGUCAAUAAACAUAUACAUAUACAAACUCACGUUAAAUUUUAAACCACGAUAUGCGUGUUUCUACGUCAUAACCAUAACAACUUUACGUACAUCUAUAUUUCCCAAACUAUGCAACCUCUAACAUGAACUAGUUUUUAAUAAAGUUACGUAACAAGGUGAAAGUGGAUCAUAAUCAUAACUUUUACAUACAUACAUCUUCACUUAAUAAUCUAUCAAUCUCUACGUAAAAUUUUUCAUAAUAGCAAACAUACUCACAAAUCAAUCUCUACGUAAAAUCUUGUAUAAAUAUUGUAGAAUAAGAGUAAAAAAAAAUCAAUGAACUUACGUUGAUUCAUAACAUAGUGACGUAGAAAAUACAAAAAAAAAGUUAACAAUAACGAAUCGUUAUCUUGAAAUUUUUUUCUAAAGAAAUAUAGUUGAAUACGGUUAGAGAAUUUUGGAAUUUAUGGCUUUCUAUAAGUUUAUAUUAAACGAAAACUAUAGAUUUGAUAAUUUUUAGUUAUUAUCUUAUAAGAUUUAGUAUCUUUUUUAAUAAACUAUUAUUAUUUUUAAACUAUAAUAAUAAAAAUAAAUAUAUAUUUUUCGAAUUGAUUUUGAAUUUAUAACUAAAGCAUUUAAAUUAAAUCAGGACAAACCUGUCUUUUUAUAUAUUGAUUUUUUAUUUUAUUUUAAAUAGGGUAAGUGUAGUUUACAAAGCAAAACUUUAAAAUAUGGUAGAAUUCAAAAUCACCCUUGUUAAUAUCCAGUAACUUAAAUAAAAAAAAUUCAUUAUUUAAAAGAAAAAAAUCAAAUUCACUCUUUAAAAGCUUUCUACGGUGAAACUUGUGAUUAAUCUUCCAAUCUCUUCAUUUCAGAUCUCAGAUCUUUCAGUUAAUUGCUGAAUCAAUCGCUAGAAGCUUCAAUCAAGUGAUUUUAUCAGAGAUUCAUCAAGCCCAAUACCAAUCAGAUUCAGAUUCGUAGUUCUGUUCGAUGUUGGUGAUUUUAAGCAGCUACGAAGUUGUGAGACGAGACGGUUUGGUGUUGUUUCUCAGUCGUCUACUCUUUCUCAGACUUCUACUCUAAUGGUGAGAUCGAGAUAUCUAGAUCUCAAGGAACGACUACACGCAUGACUCACACGCCUUAAGUUGAUGUUGAGAAGCCGCUUCCCAACAGAGAUCUCUACAUCAGAAGCUUCUCCGCCGGGUUUCUAUACGGAUCCGGCACGUAUCUCGGUAGAACUAUGGGUGAAUGUGACAAAGGUGAUUGGAAACGAGGCAAAGCUUCAGGAAUGGCUUAGCGGAGCUACUUACGAAAGUGAAUUCAAAUUUGAGCAAACGGAAAGAUUUGGGACUUUACUGGAGCUGAUGGAGAUACUUACAGAGGAACUUUAGAUAGGAAACAUGGUCAUGGAAAAAUGGAGAUUUCUACAAAGGAACUUGGAGAAGGAAUUUGCAACAUGGUAAAGGUUGGUACGUUUGGAGAAUGGCGUAGUUGUGUGAUUUUCAGGAAAGGUUUGAUUAUUAUGCCUAGUGGGAAUAUAUACGAAAGUUUGUGGGAGAAUGGGAUUCCUAAAGGAAGUGGUGUGUUUACUUGGAGUGAUGGUAUUUCUUGUGUUGGUGUUUGGAAUGAGAGUAAUAACAUGAGGCGUUUCUUUAAUGCUAUUGAGAAAACUUGUGGAAUCUCUCUGAUCAGAUAACUUAUAGUGGUUUAAGAGAAACGAGUGAUUGUUAAGAACAAUUGCUAUAUUGAACAUCCUUUAACCAUCCCUUCCUUAAACCUCCUAUCUUUUUUAGCCACCACUGGUUCUUCUUCCUCUGUCUUGGUUUGACAAAUUCCAUCAAAGCUACUGAUGAGAUAUAAAUGGAGUUAAUUGUGAACAUUCGAUAAGAUUGAUAUAAGGAUGCUUUAGCUUUUCAAGCAACUCAGCGAAGAAGAACGAUUCUUCUUCUUCUCAUCAUCAUCACCACUAUUAGGGAAUGUAUAUAGUUGGUUUUCCUUGAUUCAACCUUUAUAUAGUAUAGAUUCAGAAUCCCUCAAACGGUGAUGACUAGAACAAGAAACUGAGGAACUACAAGCCGAAGAAGCCAAAGGCAUCAAAGAUGAGGUAGAUGUCGAGACAAAAGACAAGAAGAGAAGAAGAGCAUGAAGACGAUAACAUUCAUUCCAUAGCUAAUCAAUAUAUAUAUAUAUAUAUAUAUAUAUAUAAUUUGACCAAAGUUAUAGAAUUGGGCAACAUAUUUAAAUGCAUUGGGAGAGAAAAGGGAGAGUACAUGUGUCAGGAUCUCUUGAUGUCAAGUUAAGUAUAUGAGAAAACUUAUGAUCCACCUAAGCACACCCAUGCUUGCAUAUGGCGUUCACUAGAAUCGUGAGGAUUUUCAAAAACAAACUCCACAUUACAGCACCAUUAACCCACAUUCGAACGUUUAACCAUAAGGAAAGGACCAGGAGAUUACAAAUCAGACACAUAUAAACUUCAGCAGAUCUUAACCUAUCAGAUUAAACACUUAUUUGAGAAUCAAUACUUACACACUUAGAGUUUAAAGCUGUAAAUUUAGAAUUGAGGAAUUGAUAACUUAGAUCAACUACAAAAGGUAAUUAGUUGAAGCUUUGGCUCUAAAAAUUUAUAAACUAAUCACAAAAUUCUAACAACAAGUAAUAAGAGUCCUUCGAGCUAUUUGGGAUCCUCAUUUUGGUCAACCGGCUGUGGAAGCGUUCACUCAAGGAGGUGCUCUCGGCCCGGUGACUGCGGGUCUUUGCUCAUAGUCAAGAAUAGGCUUCUCGCAAUUCCAUUUUCUAAAAGAUUAGGAUCCUCUUUUCAAGGAAAACAAUUAAAAAAAGGGAAUUUGGCUGUACCACACAAAAUGACAGGCAGUGAAUAUCCCCGAGUGCCUCUUUUCCCCGAACUCUAAAUAGACUUUUUUGCUAUAUGGAAUUACUUGUUGGGCUACGUAAGAACCCAAAAAGCGAGGAAAACAACAAUUUUUUGCAAUUUAAUCCAAAUUAGUCAAGAACAAAUACGGAGUAAUUGAGUAGACAUAAGUACCAUAACAAAAUCAUUAUCGGAACCUAGUUUCUUGGGAGCUAAAUCAUCUUGAUAAACAAUAUCCCCACCAGAUCUCUCCCAGUCGCUCAUACUCACGUAGCCACUUGUCUUCAUCAAGCACUCCCAUUCGCUCAUACUCACGUAGCCACUCAUCCUCAUCCAGCUCUCCUGGUUGUUCAUCUUGAGCAGCUUCCUUUGUCGCUCUUGUCGCUUAUCCUGCCGCAGUUCUCCCUGUCGCUCCCCCUGGCGUUCUCCUUGUCGUUUAUUCUGCCCCAGCACUCCCUACCGCUCUCCUUCGCUCAUCCAAGGUAUUACUUUCAAGUAAUUUAACCUUCAAAACAUACAAAUAGCUAAUUGGAGAUAUCUUUACAGGUGAAGGCUCCAAAGAGAGGUGAUAUUGUCAGAAAGAUUGAGGAUUCAUUAAGAUCAAAACUCACUUGAAAUGUGAAAGAUCCUUGCUGAAAGAAUCGGAGAAGUUCAUGUCAACCAAAUUACCUAAAAAAAAAUUAUUUGUUUAGUUGUUGAAGGUCUAAUCCCAUGUUUACAACAUCCUAAUGACACGUUGCUUGUUGAUAAUCCAGAACCAGUGCCAUGGGGAGCUACCACUUAUUUGUGGUUUGUCUACAUUGUUUAUCUUGAGAGCUUGAUUGAAUUUCUUCUCACGUUGUUUCUCUUUAUAAUGUCAAGCUUGUUGAAAGCAUAUUCUUAUGUAACAUGCAUAAUCUAAGAGAAAUAAACAUGUGAUGGUGUUUGUUUAGUUCAUCAUGGCUUAGAGAGUCUAUUAUGCAUGAUAUGAGUAGUCUUUUAUUUUCUUGGUUCAGGUGGGUGAAGGGACAAUCUUGAUUGUGAAUGGACAAUCUUCUACUCUGCUGCUCCCAGAUGGAUAGAUCCAGAGUCUAAGACAGGUGAGUUACACCUUCCUGAGGAACUCAUGUGCUUUAUGUCAUUUCUCAUGUGGUUGUGUGAUUGUAGAGGAACCCUAUUUCUUCCCAGACUUGCAACAUUCAACACCAUUUGAAUCCAUGAUGUAGUUUAACCACUGAUCUCAUUUUACCAAACUUGGUUUCUUUUAUUCCUCAUACAGGUGUUAGGGACUGGUAUGACCAUUGGAAAGGGUGUGUUUGGUUUACUCCAGGAGCAGGUGUGUACGUGUACAUUUGUGUGCUGCUCAUACCUGUAGUAACAUCUUGUACAAUCUGAAGAAGACGUUGUAGGUUCUAAACUUUUCUGUAUGUCUUACAUUUACAAAAUAUACCUCUCGAACAUGCAUUAGGUUGUGGUAAUAUUUUUGCUUGUUGAUGCUAUAAUAAAAAAAUCACUACACCAAUCCAUCCUGCAAAAAAAACUAUUCACAAAGUUUUUUUGGGCAAACAUAGAUUACUUGAUAAAACCUGAAACGUUUACACUCCACCAUGGGAGGAAUUGUUUAAAAGCCAUCAAAGCUGACUUUGCAAGAGAGUCGGCUAAAACAUUGCCAGACCUUGGAAUAAAGUUAAAAAGAUAGAAGCAAAAGAAGACUUUAACACAGCUAUGUCUUGGAGGAUACCCUUGAGCUCUGUAGUCCAAUUCUUUGCAUUGAUGAGUGUUAUGAGGACUUUGGAGUCCAAAAACACUGAAAGGUUUGUAAAAUCCUGAUGGGCUGCAGCCAUAGUAAGCGCACUCCGUAAAGCCAGAGCUUCGCAAUAAGAGCUGAAGCUACAAAGGCUCUGCUGUCUGACGAAGAAACCAAAGUCGAAAAGGUCGGGUUUGUAACUAUCUAUCCCAUUAUGCAGUUGCUAGAAACACUAGACCAAGCGGCAUGCACAAAGCAAGUAGCAGUCAAAGGCUUUAAACCAUUAGACAGCGGCAUAUAUUUAGGGGCCUGCAUCUUGGGGACUUAGCAUUUACCCAUGUUUUUGCAUCCAUGAUAGCUUUGAGAACUGUUUCACUUCUGUAAAGAUUCGUUCUUCAAAGAGAAGUUGAUUUCUUGCCUUCCACAGAUUCCACAACAGCCAAGGGAACCGGGGUGUGGAAGCUAAAUCGGAUGGUGGGAGGUUCUGCAUUUUUAUACCCAAUUGCAGGAAAUGGUGGAUGGUUUGCUCAGUCCCGGAGCCAUGUUCCAGAAGCUUACAGCAAAUGGACAGUGGAGAAAGACAUGAAGUUCAUCUUCAGCAGCCCCACAUCUUUUACACAACUCGCCAGCUCCAAGUCCUCUUUUGGCUAAAUUAGAGCCGAGAGCCAGGUCCAGGUUUGCUGUUUUACACAGAAACGUUUUAAGCUUUGGUGUUGUCUGGAGAUUCCAAACACAACUUAGCCAGUUCAUCCGAGGGUGGAAAAAGCAUACCCUGUUUUGGUAGAAUACUACCCUGAUUUCUCAGGUAACCACACUCUAACGUCUCUAAGGGAAUUUGUGCUUGUUAUGAUCUUUCUAAUAUCAGCCUCAUGAUGAGGUACAAGGGAGUGAAUAGCAGAGAUAUUCCACUCAUUAGUGUCAGGACAUAGAAGGUCACUAACUAGAAGUUUCUCAUCACACAAAUUUGGGGGACCGUAGGGGAUAGAGGCUAUGAGGGUGAGAGCCACGCAUCGGUCCAAACCUUGAUUUCUGUCCCAUCUCCCACCGUCGAACCUAACCCCUUCUUUAAUACUUCUCUUCUAAGAAGAAUACCUCUCCAUUCAUGAGAGGCUACCUUUGGGUUAAAAGCAGCUUUCAGAAAAGGAACAUCAUGGCUGUACUUUCCAAGAAGCACCGUUGCUAGUAGAGAGGAAGGAUUUUGCAGAAUUCUCCAACUAAUCUUUGCAAGCAGGGCAUCAUUGAAGCAUUCUAUUUCUCUGAAACCUAGUCCACCUGCAUACUUUGGGCGAGUGAGCUUAUCCCAAGCCACCCAGCACAUCUUCUUCUUCCCUGGCUUGUCAUCCCACCCGAAGCAAGUGAAAAUGGACUGAAUUUGUUUACAUAAGGAAGUGGGAAUUAACAUGGCAUACGACGGCAUGGCUGCAAGCACUGACUUUAACAGAAUUUGUUUACCUGCUCCCAAGAGGAAUCGAGUAGACCAGCUAUGUAAUUUUUGCCGGAUCUUAUCAACAAUAGCUGAGAAAAUAUCCCUUUUCUUUCGGCCAAAGUGCUCGGACAAUCCAAGGUAUUUGCUUAUUCCUCCUUCUGCCUUUAUAUGAAGGGCAGCUUUGACCUGUCUCUUGCAUUCCGGGGAGGUCUUAGAUGAGAAUGUGAUAAAGGAUUUCUUGAGGUUAAUGCGUUGUCCGGAGGGUUUUUCAUACUUCUCAAGAAUCUGAGUAAGGGAUGCACAACAGGAAGUAGAAGAUUUGCAGAAAAACAUGGUGUCAUCCGUGAAUAGAAGAUGGUUAAUAAUAGGACUUGCUCUUGCCACCCUGAUGCCCGAGUGUCAGCCUUUCCUUUGUGCAUUCAAGCAAAGCCCUGACAGAACUUCCGUGCACAAGAUAAAAAGAUACGGAGACAGCGGGUCUCCUUGCCUAAGGCCUCGAGAAGGAACAACUUUUCCUUGUGGUUUACCAUUGAUAAGGAAGGAGUAAGAAACAGAGUCAAUACAUUUCAUUACCCAAGAGAUCCAAAUCUCAUGGAAACCAAGACGAUUUAGGACUACUUUUAAAAAAAUCCAUUCAAUACGGUCAUACGCUUUACUCAUAUCCGUUUUAACCGCCAUGGAGCAGAACUUUCUAGCUUCUAAGGAGCGGAGGAAGUGAAGAAUUUCAUGCAUGAUGAGUACGUUAUCCGAAAUAGCUCUGUUUGGAACAAAUGUGGAUUGAUGGCUAGAUAUAAGCUGCGGCAGCAGUGGUUGGAGCCUUCUUGUCAGGAUCUUUGCAAUGAUCUUAUAGUGAGUGUUACAUAAAGCUAUAAGUCGAUAAUCUCCUACUUUCUUUGGCGAGAGCCCCUUAGGGAUUAACCAAAUAUGGGUUUCAUUUUGUCUACUGUGGAGAAAGCAUGUUUCAAAGAAGGAUAUAACAUCUCGAGAGACGUACUGACCAAUAAUACUCCAAUAUGCUUGAUAGAAGCUCGAGGAGAAACCAUCCGGCCCAUGAGCUUUACUAGUAUUUACCGAGAAUACAUCCUUUCAGAUUUCCUUUGCAUCUGGGAUCAGGAUGAGUUUGGCAUUCAUGUCCGAGGUGAUCUUUGAUUUUAAGGCUUUAUCAAUAAUGCUUAGAUCAGUAUCCUCAUUAGCUGUGAAAAUAGAGUGAUAGAAGUCUGCAACAAUGUUCCUCUUCAUGCACUUCCAUUCCUUGUUCAUUCUCGAUGACUAUAAAGGAGUUUAAAACUCUUUGGCCUCUUGCUAUAGCAUGGAAGUAGGCAGUACUGCCAUUCCCUCCCUGGAGCCAUUGGAUUCGACUACGCUGCAGCCAAAAGCUUUCCUCCUCUUUGUAGGCAUUUUCCAAAUCUAAAGUCAAGGAAGCAAUUAUUUCAGCAGUUGGUGUCGCCAAGGAGAAAGCUGUUUCCAGCUUAUGUAGCAGUUCCUGGAUCUCUUUGCUGCUAUUGUACUUCUGUUCCUUAGUCCAUUCAAUGAUUUUGCGGCGAUAACAGUUAAGCUUUGUAAUGACUGCAUCAUCUUGAGAGAGAUUCCAGGCGUCUUUGACCAAAUCUGUCACCUCAGGAUUUUCUAUAAGUCUCUUGUCAAAGCGAAAGAGGCCCCUCUUUUUCUCUUUUAAAACAUUUAAGUAGGUGACUAGGGGGCGAUGGUCUGAGCCUUCAAAGCGCAUGUACUUGCAACAGCCAGCAGGAAAGGUCUCUGCCCACGAGCAGUUAGAGAGGGAGCGAUCUAAUCUUGCUCUCACAAAGUAUUUAUGUUGCAUUGCUCUCCAAGAUAAGGAGCAACCUGAAUGCUUGAAAUCCCAAAUCCCAUUUUUGAUACAAAGCUGCGAAAGUUGAGAAAGGAACCUUCCCAUCUUGGUCGGCCUCCCACUUUUUCAGAAUUCUCCAAAAUCUCAUUAAAAUCUCCUAUAAGGAGCCAAGAGGAAUUUCUAAGAGCACCAAUGUCAAAGAUUUGGCUCCAGAAAUCUGCCCUGAACUCAACCUUUGGGGGGCUAUAGAUGAAGGUUAUAAAAGAAGAAAAGCCUUUGUAGAUGAUCUCAGUAUCAAUUAAGUUUUGGGAUGAUUUUGGGAUGAUUUUAGGAUUUUAAUAGUUUUGGGGUGAUCUCCUUCCAAAGAAAAGCUAGCCCUCCACUUACGCAAAUGGGAGGAAUUGUAAACUUGGAGGAGAAACCCAUCCAGUCAAACUUUUUAGAAAUAUAUUCAUCAGAGUUUUUUGUUUCCAUCAGGAACAUUAGGUCCGGAGAGAUUGUUUUAUGGAUCUCUCGAUGACGACGAACUAUAAAGGAGUUCCUCAAUUCUUGACUGUUCCCACUCAAAACAACUAAGGAAGAGGAUUUGGUGGGGACCGAAAAUCCGCCACCUCCUUACAAGCUGAAGGAAAAUCCGCUAAAACUCGAAGGGGAGGUUGAUUCCCAGGAUUGCUGCCACAUCCCUAAUUGGGCUCAUCCUCUUCAAGAAAUCUUAUUAUUACAUCCUGUAGUAAUGAGGAAUCAAUGGAGAUUCCAGUACCUAGUCGGGAUUUCACUGAAGGGAUGGGGAGGGAUAAGCGUUCAAGUGCAGGCCUCCUUUCCCUGGAAGAGCUAUUUGCAGCCUCCGGAACUAUAACAUGAUGGGGCUGAAUGAGAUCUCUUUAGGGACUAGAGGGAGGAGUAGCAGAGAGAUGGGAAUGGGUAUCUUUGUCCCCAGGGGAUCGUGGAGUUGCCCUCGGUGAGGCUCUACUAUGCCAGCUAGGAGAGCCAACAUCUCUGUUAGCAGCCUGUCGACUAACCUCUGGGGAUGCACCCCUAGUGGAGCAGCUCAAACUUGAUAUAUUGCUUUGUCUUUCCACCCAUUCCCUCUUUUGAUUCGACCUACCAGAAGGAAGAAUUCUUCCUAGGUAUCUUGCUGCCGAAAUUCCAUGAUGAGAACCUCCUCUGUGGGAGUCUUCCUUAAAAGAACCAGACCGGCUGGUAUGAUGACUCGAAGAUUGGUAAGACCGAGAGUGUCGACCAUCGUGUUGGUGACCAUCAACCUUUGUGGAGGAGGGGGGCUUGUUGUAGUUAUGUUCCCGGUGUUACUCUCUGUCGACCUCCCGCCGAUGGUUGGAGGGGGGAAGAGGGGGAUUUCUCCUGUCCUCUGUCCUGCGCUGGUCCGCUUAUAAUAUGCUAAGGUUCUUCUUCCGGUUGACACCAAUAGGUCGAGAAUCACCCAUGGAAGCUAAGUUUUUUGGGCAGUCAUUUUCCUCAUGAGAGAGGGAGAAACAAGAGAAGCAGUGUUUCCCAAGUUUCCCAUAUUCCAACUCAACAGUGGUGAUUUCCCCUCUAGGAAGUCAGAUAUCUAGUCGUAUUUCCAAUGGCUUAAGCCCAUUGACAUCAACCCGAACACGGGCUUCUUAUACAUACUUUCCGAGAUGUAGCAGAUUUCUUCCCCAAUAGCUUGUAUAGUUUGUUCAUUCCAGUGAAGAGUGGGGAUAUCUUGAACUCUAACCCAUAAGGUGAUAAUGGAGGGGAAGUCGGUAGAAACUGUAGGUUCCCAGGACUGGGAAAAGUUGGUGCGGCGAAAAUUCAAAAAGCAGAAAGCAAGCUAAAGCGUCUCGAAACUCGGGCUUGAGAGAAAAACUCGGGAAAACAGUUUCACUUCAACUAUUCACAAAGUUAUAUUCUUUUUCUCCGACAUGAAAAUAAUGAAACCAAACUAGGAAGCUGUAUAUGUAUGAUGGCCAUCAAAGGUCAAGGCAUAAGCCAUGUGAGAAAGUUAAGUCAACAAUACAUCUAACAACUUGAUUUUGGAGUUUAGCUGAUGCCGACAAAACACAUUAAAAAGGCACACAGACUAAGACGAAAAUUUCAUGAGGCAAGUUUGUGUAAGUCAACGCAAAGAUACUUGAAAUAUUGGUUUCAAUUUCUCAUGGGCCGGAACUAUUAUUUACCCCAAUUGCAGCCUGUUUCCGUUUCCUUUUCCCUUUCCCUUUCUAAAUGAGAACCCUAGAACAUUACAUUUGUCUUCUUCUUUUCUUCCUUAUCCAAUGACAGUUCUAUGCCAUUUCUCUUUCCAGGUGAAUAAUCUCCAACUUUGUCCCCUUCUCUCCAACUGUAAUUAAUAUCCUUUUUAUUUUAUUUUAUUUACUGAGUAUCUUCCAUUCCACCAUCUUUUGUAUAGUGGUUUUGUUUGAUUUUGUCAUCAAAAAUCUUCAAAUUUCUCUUGGUUGUUCUUGCUUCUCCAAAAUUUUCUUCAUUUCCCAAAAAGAAGAAAUUGUGUAGCUUACUUGACAUCCUUGUGACGACUUGCAGGUUUAGGAAUGCUCUUUAUUGUGUAAGACUCUGCUUCAAUCAAUCGACAUUUGUAUUAGGUGAGUUCACAAAGUCCGUACACUCCUCUUGUUUGGGCUAGUCUUGAUGAAAAAUAAUUUUGGAGCGUUGCAAAGUCCAUUGCAUUUAGGCUCAAAUAUCAGUGGAGACGAGAAUGACUCUGUGUCCAGUCCUAAGAACAUAUCCAAGAGCGAGAGCUAGCAAGAGGUGGUUUGUGAUUUAUCAUGUGUGUCAGCAUGAACCGUGCCAUUAUAUAGUUAGGGCAAACUCAAUAUGAAUCCAGAUGUGAUGCUCCCUUUCACAUGAAGCAUCCGAUUACUUUACCAGGAGUCAAGCCUAAAUCUGAUCGUGUGAGCAUCUCUACCCCAUUACGAGGGUAUGUCGCUUCAGUAUUGAAUGAAGAGGAUAUUCAGAAGAUCAGAAAGAGUUACAAUAUUCCAAACUAAGUGAUACUUAGGGCGCCUCUAGACAACGAAAGAGCUCACAAUCUAGAUCCGAUGAGAUUGUGGUUUACCAUGCUUAUUUUGAGUUAGGCUUUAGUGGGAUCGUGCCCUCUCUUAUUGCAAUUGUUUCAUAAAUUUUGUUGUUGCAUCCUCCUGACUACAGCCCCCUCACAUGUUUCAGGCUAUACCAUGUCUCGUUUUGAUGACCAAGAAGGUAAGAGCGCUCUCGGUUCUUUUAGGCGUGCAAGAGAUAAUCUCAUGCUGGAGGAGGAGGAGCCAGUCGUUAGAGUUUCGACUAAGCGUACCGCAAAGUCAGUUGAAUGUGCAGCCUCCAAACCCUCAGAAAUAAGGGGUUUGUCUUCAUCCUCCUGCCACACAUUAUUUGGGGCCUCCGAUCACUCUGUCAUGCUUGCGGAGCUCAACAAGAAAGCUUUCCCUCAAGACAUGGAUGGUUUUACCAAGCUUGGUCAUGUGGCUUUUCUUGAUGAGUCGCAAACUCAUCUCCUCAAGGUACUUCCUUCUUUCUUUUCUUAAACCAUUGGGAUUAGUCUCUCCUUCGAUGCUUUGUCAGGAAAUUCACUUUUAACUUGGUUUAUUGAUGCUCAGGUGAUGUCUGCUUGUCAUUACGCGAAGGUGGAGACAAAUAGUCUUCAAAGAUCUAUCCUCAAGGCAAGUAAUGAUCACAAUUCGGAGAAACAGCGUCACAACCAAGCUUUGGCCAAGAAAGAUAAGGAGUACUUCUCUUUUAAGGAGGAAAGUGAGGAACUGAUGAAUGGCUGCUAUGAUGAGGACCGAGAAGGAGCUAUGAGAAGGGGUCAAGCGCCUAGAGAAGAAGGCUAGUAUGGCAAAGAGUGUUGUCUGUUGUAUUCAACCGAUGGAAGAUGAUUCAAGAGUAUAAAAAGGGGUCGAUGUUCACUGGAAUGAUAGGAAAGCAGAUGAGGAGUAUCGCACGAUCUGCAUUAUCUGAUUCCCACAUGAAGGUGGACGCAGUACAGUUAGUUGAACCUAUUCUUAUUAUGGAAUCUAGAUUUGCCAAAUUACGAUUUAGCUUUUUUGACAAGUUUUAUGAUUGAUAUUGAAAUAUGGGAAAAAGUUAAAGUGUGUGCGUUCCUUUACUAAAGUUUAUGGACAAUUUUUUUUUUGUUACGUUGCAAUGCUUGUAUUACGCUGGUUUGCGGAAACUGUUUAGUCUGGUAAAUAAUGAACUUUGACUCUUGAAUUGUUUUGCACUAAAAUUCACCCUAGUAUAUCUUUUAAGGAGGCAAAGAAGUAGUGCAAGAAGCUAAAUGAACGAUAUAUACUGAUUACAUUCAAAAGUUUGUGUUACUCACUCUAUUUUGAUCCAAUUAAUUUGAGUUACUCAACAAUGUUUUAUUCACUCUGUUUUACUCAAUUAUUCUUUCUCACUCAAUUCACUAAUUUUUUUUUACUCAAACAACUUUAUAGGUAUAUAUAUAUAUAUAUAAUCACCUAUCAAACAUAUUCAAGCUGCUCAAUCCCUCCUGUCUCACUUAUCUUACUCUGGAAAAAAAUGGCGUAUAAAAAAGUCUCAACAGAUGAGGAACUACUAGUCACAUGUACUUUGCCAGACAAAGAGAUCCCCACCGGUUCUCUCCCAGUCGCUCGUCUUCAUCCAGUACUCCUAUUCGCUCAUACUCACGUAGCCGCUCAUCCUCAUCAAGAUCUCACGAUCGAUCAUCUUAGGGCAGCUUUCAUUCUCGCUCUUGUCGCUCAUCCUGCUGUAGUUCUCUCUGCUGCUCCCCCUGGCGCUUUCCUUUUCGCUUAUCUUAACCCAGCACUCCCUGCUGUUCCCCUUGUCCCAACUCCCCUUAUCGCUCUCCCUGUCCCAGCUCGUCUUGUCGCUCCCCUCCCGCUCAACUGUCACUGCUCCCCCUGCUGCUUCCCUUGUCCCAUCUCCUCCUGUCUCCCCCCCUUGCCCCUUAUCUUGCCCCAGCUCCCCCUGUGGUUUUCCGUUUCUCUUCCUUCGCUAGCUUUCCAAGACCUUGGCGAUUCUCCUCCUAAUAGACUGACUCAUAGCCAACGCCGGAGGAUGCGUAGAAAACAAAGAACCCGAAGCCGCAAGCAAAGAAAAAAGAAUGUCAAAAUGAGAAACAACAACGAAGGCGAUAACAACGAGGGCGGCGGAAUGGGCGGCGAAGGCUGCAUUGAAGCAUGAUAAUUUACUUUUAAAAAAAUAACUGAUUUUAAUAUGGCAUCAAAUAUGAGAAGAGUUUUUGUUUCUACCAAAAGUUAUAAUUAUCAAUAUCGGUUUCUAAAAUUUUCCUCCAUGUCUAACUGUUUUAUAUUUUAAAAGAGUGGAAUAGUAAUUGAGAAACUUCUUUGAUUAAAAGGAUAUAAGGGAGAUCCAAAUUUAAAAGGUAAAAAAAUUAAAAGGUGAUGAUCGUGGCAAUGGCCCCAAUGCGUGCCUCCACGUAUGAUUUUGAGUUAAUUACUUUGAGUGACUCAACUUUGUGUUACUCACUCUAUUUUGAUCCAAUUAAUUUGAGUUACUCAAAAAUGUUUUACUCACUCUGUUUUACUCAAUUAUUCUUUCUCAAUUCACUCAUCUUUUUUUUACUCAAACAACUUUAUAGGUAUAUAUAAUCACCUAUCAAACAUAUUCAAACUGCUCAAUCCCUCCUCUCUCACUUAUCUUACUCUGGAAAAAAAAAUGACAAAUAGAAAAGUCUCAAGAGAUGAGGAACUACUAGUUACAUGUACUCUGCCAGACAAAAAGAUCCCUGUCGGUUCUCUCCCAGUCGUUCGUAUUCAUCCAGUACUCCUAUUCGCUCAUACUCACGUAGCCGCUCAUCCUUAUCAAGAUCUCUCGAUCGAUCAUCUUAAGGCAGCCUCCUUUGUCGCUUUUCCUGCCGUAGUUUUCUCUGCCGCUCCCCCUGGCGCUUUCCUUCUCGCUUAUCUUAACCCAGCACUCCCUGCUGCUCCCCCUGUCCCAGCUCCCCUUGUCCCAGCUCCUCUUGUCGCUCCCCUUGCCGCUUCCCUGUCUCUGCUCCCCCUGCUGCUUCCCCUGUCCCAGCUCCUGCUAUCCCCCCCCACCUUGUCCCUUAUCUUGCCCCAGCUCCCCCUGUGGUUCCCCGUUGCUCCUCCUCUGCUAGCUUUCCAAGACCUUGGCGAUUUUCCUCCCAAUAGACAGACUCAUAGCCAACGCUGGAGGAUACGUAGAAAACAAAAAACCCGAAGCCGCAAGCAAAGAAGAAAGAAUGUCAAAAUGAGAAACAACAACGAAGGCAAUAACAACGAGUGCGGCGGAAUGGGCGGCGAAGGCUGUAUUGAAGCUUGAUAAAAUUUUUUUAAAAAUUAACUGUUUUUAAUAUGCCAUAAAAUAUGAGAAGAGUUUUUGUUUCUACCAAAAGUUAUAAUUAUCAAUAUCGUUAUCUAAAAUUUUCCUCCAUGUCUAACUGUUUUAUAUUUUAAUAGAGUGGAAUAGUGCUUAAAAUUGUGAAACCUCUUUGAUUAAAAUGAUAUAAAGGAGACCUAAAUUUAAAAAAAAAAAAAAAAAAAAUACAUUUAGUAGCUAUGUCGGGGUAAAGGGUAAAUUUCAACCUGAACCCUAGAAAAGUAGAAUCCAAUUUUCUCUCAAAUCGAUUCUCGAACAGCGAUGGCACGAACUGAACAUUAUUUCAAAUAAAACUGAACUGAACAUUAUUUCAAAUAAAACAAAGAAAAAUCAAAAUAUAAAUUUCAAAAUAUAAGUAGUCUAUAUAUAUAAAGUUAACUUUGCUCUCUUCUCCUUAAGCCACCUCACCAUCCUAAUCAUCAUACACAUCAUUUUACUAUUUAAUUAUAAUAAUUUAUUUAUACCAUUUUAUUCUUUAAUUUAAAUAUUUAUACACAUGUAAACAAGUUUUUCAAAAAGUAAUAUGAAAAGUCCUUUCAAAUGAUAAUUAUAAUAAAAUAAAUAUGUUAAAUUAGUAUAAAGUAGAUUAUACUAAUAUGUAUGUUAAAUAACAAAAAAAUAACAAAUAUAACAAACAAAUAUAACAAAUAAAAAUAACAAACAAAAAUAAAUAGAUAAUAAACAACUUAUCGCCAAAUCAACAAAUAAAAAUACAAUAAUUCGCACGAAUCCACAAAUCAUUCUCAACUAUUGGACCAACAUAUUAAAAGGACCUACAAUAUUAACAUCAUCGAUCUAUAUUUGGUAGGAGCCUUAAUAACACAUUUUUUCUACAACUCUCCAUAACACUUCCGUUUACGCCUACACAUCGAUUUAUACUAUACACACUUAAUUCUCAACUAUUAUCGAAACUAAAAUAAAAUAGAUUUUCUAUACAAACACUACAUGAGAUAGAAAAUAAAAAUAUGAUUUAGUUGAGAAAAUAAGUACGAAAUAAAAUAUGAAUCAUUUACUCAUAAACUACGUAAUAAAACUCCCGCGCGUAGCGCGGGCAACUGACUAGUAGAUAUAUAUAUAUAUAUAUAAUCACCUAUCAAACAUAUUCAAACUCUCAAUCCCUCCUCUCUCACUUAUCUUACUCUAGAAAAAAAAAUGACGAAUAGAAAAGUCUCAAGAGAUGAGGAACUACUAGUCACAUGUACUCUGCCAGACAAGGAGAUCCCUGCCGGUUCUCUCCCAGUCGCUCGUAUUCAUCCAGCUCCCCUUGUGGUUCCCCCUUGCUCCUCCUCCGCUAGCUUUCCAAGAUCUUAGUGAUUCUCCUCUCAAUAGACUGACUCAUAUUCAACGUCUGAGGAUGCGUAGAAAACAAAGAACCCAAAGCCGCAAGCAAAGAAGAAAGAACGUCAACAUGAGAAACAACAACGAAGGCGAUAACAACGAGGGCGGCGGAAUGGGCGGCGAAGGCUGCAUUGAAGCUUGAUAAUUUUCUUUUAAAAAAUAACUGUUUUUAAUAUGGCAUCAAAUAUGAGAAGAGUUUUUGUUUCUACCAAAAGUUAUAAUUAUCAAUAUCGUUAUCUAAAAUUUUCCUCCAUGUCUAACUGUUUUAUAUUUUAAUAGAGUGGAAUAGUGCUUAAAAUUGUGAAACCUCUUUGAUUAAAAUGAUAUAAAGGAGACCUAAAUUUAAAAGAAAAAGAAAAAAAAAUACAUUUAGUAGAUAUGUCGGGGUAAAGGGUAAAUUUCAACCUGAACCCUAGAAAAGUAGAAUCCAAUUUUCUCUCAAAUCGAUUCUCGAACAGCGAUGGCACGAACUGAACAUUAUUUCAAAUAAAACUGAACUGAACAUUAUCUCAAAUCAACCUCGACUGAACAUUAUAUCAAAUAAAACUACAUGAACUAUCAAAUUUGUGCCACAACAACAUUGACCGAGAUUAUAUUGGUCAACAACGAUGAGUCAGAUGCCAUGUAUAUAGAUUUUGCUGAGUCAUAUGCCACGUGUACAAAUUUUGCUGAGUCACCUGCCAUGUACAUGUGGCAUAUGACUAAGUAAAAUCUGCCUACAUGGCAUCUGACUCAUCGUAGUUGACCAACAUAAUCCCAGUCAAUGUUGAUUUUUGCAUAAAUUUGAUAGUUCAUGUUGUUUAUUCAAAAAAAUAUUUAGUUUAGGUUGAAAUUCACACGUUAGCAAAGUUUAGGUAUGAAAAUACACUUUUGAAAUUGUCUAGGUUGAAAUUUUCCUUUCACCCAGCUAUGUCGUCUUCACAAAAACCUUUGUUCCCUUUCUCAGCUUCCAUUGUCAGUCACUAACUCGCCUGCUCGAAACAUGAGCUCUCAAUCAAAUUAACUCGUCUUCCAGCUCAGAUCUCACCAGAAAUUCCAUGGACGGCCUCCUUGCCACGACACGUAACUCGACAUGCUCACAAUAGAACUUAUCGUCUGGCUAUAUAUUAUUCUCUUCUUCUUGUUUUUUUUCGGGGAAAAUUUGAAUUUCGUUUUGUCAAAAAUUAUAUAUUUUGAGUAUCGUUCUCUCUACAUUUGCCGCAUCGUUUUGUCUUUCUAAUAAGUUUUAGUGUCCCAUUUAUUUAUGAAUUUUCAAUUAUAUGUUUACCCUCUUUUAUGCUAACAAAAAAAUAAAAAUAAAAUAUAGAAGAACACAUCUCUCGUAUAAUAAAAGAGGGAUUUAUUUAUUUUAACAGGGUAAGGGUCGAUGUUGAGGUUUAUAUAUAUAUACACUAGAGGAUAGCCCGUGCUACCGCAUGGAUGACAUUUUCUCGAAGCGUUAAUAAAAUAGUAUUUCUUUUAAAUUGUUCUUAUCUAAGAUAGUGUUUAUUUUUUCAUAUCGUAAGUGUUUAGCAAAUAAGAUGUUUUCAGUUUUGGACAUGUAUAGUCGGUUCAACUGAUUAAUUUACGACCCGAACAUUGGAUCAUUUUUCGAUUUAAGUUUAAUGCUGAUAACUGGUAAUCUUAAAAACAAAAAAAAAACU
rnacentral:lncRNA from 1 species